rnacentral:lncRNA from 1 species
CUUUUGAGAGUAUUCUAGCUCAAUUAUAUAUAUAUAUAUAUAGAGCAGGGCUGCUGUGCUCUCAGGAGCACGGAGGCCUCCGUGCUCCUGAGCUGUUUUCGAUGAUGGAAUUUUCGAAUCGAUGAUCGGCUCCGUUAGACUUGAUCUAGCGCAUUUGAAGUUUCUAGAAAAUAAUUUUUGCGAUUUUUCGAUAUCAUUUACCUAGUGAUCGAAAGGAUUCAAAAUCUAUAAUUUUUAAUGGUUGAUAUCUGCCGUUUUCAAGUUUAACGGUGUAGAAGUAUUCAAAUUAGAUGAAAUUUUGAUAGAAAAUUCUUUAUACUAUCUACAACAAGAUCUAUAUUUCUGAUCGAAAAUUUUAGUGCCAUAUCACCACUUUUUAUAGGAUUUUUAUUUUCAGCCGUUAAAAAUUAUUGAUUUUGAAUNNNNNNNNNNNNNNNNNNNNNNNNNNNNNNNNNNNNNNNNNNNNNNNNNNNNNNNNNNNNNNNNNNNNNNNNNNNNNNNNNNNNNNNNNNNNNNNNNNNNNNNNNNNNNNNNNNNNNNNNNNNNNNNNNNNNNNNNNNNNNNNNNNNNNNNNNNNNNNNNNNNNNNNNNNNNNNNNNNNNNNNNNNNNNNNNNNNNNNNNNNNNNNNNNNNNNNNNNNNNNNNNNNNNNNNNNNNNNNNNNNNNNNNNNNNNNNNNNNNNNNNNNNNNNNNNNNNNNNNNNNNNNNNNNNNNNNNNNNNNNNNNNNNNNNNNNNNNNNNNNNNNNNNNNNNNNNNNNNNNNNNNNNNNNNNNNNNNNNNNNNNNNNNNNNNNNNNNNNNNNNNNNNNNNNNNNNNNNNNNNNNNNNNNNNNNNNNNNNNNNNNNNNNNNNNNNNNNNNNNNNNNNNNNNNNNNNNNNNNNNNNNNNNNNNNNNNNNNNNNNNNNNNNNNNNNNNNNNNNNNNNNNNNNNNNNNNNNNNNNNNNNNNNNNNNNNNNNNNNNNNNNNNNNNNNNNNNNNNNNNNNNNNNNNNNNNNNNNNNNNNNNNNNNNNNNNNNNNNNNNNNNNNNNNNNNNNNNNNNNNNNNNNNNNNNNNNNNNNNNNNNNNNNNNNNNNNNNNNNNNNNNNNNNNNNNNNNNNNNNNNNNNNNNNNNNNNNNNNNNNNNNNNNNNNNNNNNAGUUCCAAUUCAAAAUUUCAAUUUAAAUCAAAAAUUAAAAUUUGGCUUUAAGAUUAAAAGUUCAAUUUAGAUUCAAAUUUAAAAGUUUAAUAUAAAUUUCAAAAUUAAAAUUUUGCAUUACAAUACCAACUUCAAAAAUUAAAUUUAAAUUCAAUAUUUUUUUGAGCUGGAUACUUAACAAAUUGGGUAUUAUCUAAUUUGGUAAGUUAUCAAAGAGAAUAAGAUAUUUGAUAUUUAUAGGAUGCUGACAAAUUUGGUAUAUACUACUAAUUUUCUUUCUAAUAUUGUCAUACUAACUAAUUCAAAUCGGUAACCUGUUCAGCAGGUUACUUCAUGUAAAACUCAAUUACACCCUUUACUAAUUAAGAAUAAGAUUUUAAUAUUUAUGGUGUAAUAGUAUAAUCUAACGGGUGAAAAUGAUCAGAGGCGUAGAUCUAACGGUAAAAUAUUUACAAGUACCAAAUACUUGGUACUUUUACAAACACCAUAGUCGAACUCUCUCUCUCUCUCUCUNNNNNNNNNNNNNNNNNNNNNNNNNNNNNNNNNNNNNNNNNNNNNNNNNNNNNNNNNNNNNNNNNNNNNNNNNNNNNNNNNNNNNNNNNNNNNNNNNNNNNNNNNNNNNNNNNNNNNNNNNNNNNNNNNNNNNNNNNNNNNNNNNNNNNNNNNNNNNNNNNNNNNNNNNNNNNNNNNNNNNNNNNNNNNNNNNNNNNNNNNNNNNNNNNNNNNNNNNNNNNNNNNNNNNNNNNNNNNNNNNNNNNNNNNNNNNNNNNNNNNNNNNNNNNNNNNNNNNNNNNNNNNNNNNNNNNNNNNNNNNNNNNNNNNNNNNNNNNNNNNNNNNNNNNNNNNNNNNNNNNNNNNNNNNNNNNNNNNNNNNNNNNNNNNNNNNNNNNNNNNNNNNNNNNNNNNNNNNNNNNNNNNNNNNNNNNNNNNNNNNNNNNNNNNNNNNNNNNNNNNNNNNNNNNNNNNNNNNNNNNNNNNNNNNNNNNNNNNNNNNNNNNNNNNNNNNNNNNNNNNNNNNNNNNNNNNNNNNNNNNNNNNNNNNNNNNNNNNNNNNNNNNNNNNNNNNNNNNNNNNNNNNNNNNNNNNNNNNNNNNNNNNNNNNNNNNNNNNNNNNNNNNNNNNNNNNNNNNNNNNNNNNNNNNNNNNNNNNNNNNNNNNNNNNNNNNNNNNNNNNNNNNNNNNNNNNNNNNNNNNNNNNNNNNNNNNNNNNNNNNNNNNNNNNNNNNNNNNNNNNNNNNNNNNNNNNNNNNNNNNNNNNNNNNNNNNNNNNNNNNNNNNNNNNNNNNNNNNNNNNNNNNNNNNNNNNNNNNNNNNNNNNNNNNNNNNUAUAUAUAUAUAUAUAUAUAUAUAUAUAUAUAUAUAUAUAUAUAUAUAUAUAUAACUAGAAUGGCAAUUGCAAAAUAAUUGCAACCAGUGUGUGCACUGACUAAUUUUUAUUAUUUUCUUCAUUUGUUUGUUGAAUACUUUAUUUUUUCGAUUGUUGUGAUGAUGUUUUUUUAUUAUUUCUGUUUAAAAUUAUUCUUUUACUACAAGUUAUACAACUUAUAUAUUCUAAUCAAUUUUAUAAGUUGCUGCUUCACUUGAUCUAUUGCUUCUACUGUUUCUUCUACUGUAUAUCUGGGUUGCAAAAAGAUAUUGUGCUUUUGAUUUGCUACUAUUGAUUUUUGUACUAUUGCAAUCGUAUAUUUUUUAGACAGUCGGUUAGUAAUAUUUUUUAGGGAUAAUUUUCUAUAUACCCCUCAUAUAUUUGAAAAUAUCCAAUUUACCGCUACUUUUUUUUUUCUUUCUAAAAUACCCCUCAUAUGUUCCACCAUUAUUGCAAAAUAACCCCGCAGUUAUCUCCUGUUAAGUUAACUUGGGUUAAACGUAAGUUAUGUAGUAUCCUUAGUUUUUGGGUUGCCCGCGAGAUUUCAGCAUCUGAGGCUUGUCGAUACAUCUGGAGAGUGUCGGGACAAGUCGGAGUCGUUUUGACGCGAAAUAGACGCAAAACGGACUCAAUGCGACGCAAGAGCAGAGUUUUAAUAUUGGAAUCUGCAAAGUGCGGGUUUUCAGUGUUGAGUACCGGUACCCCAGUGUAAUUCCAAUUAGACUGCUCUCGGGUUGCGCCAAUUUGAUGCUGGGUACCGGUACGGCAUCGGGCUGGUACCGGUACCUUGUGUGCGAGCUUGCAGGUUGAGAGGCCAUUUGAGUUGGUAGAGGAUAUGGUAGUCUUUAUUGAGUUAGUGAGGGGUAUUAUGGUCAUUAUGUUGGAUAAGAUUGCCACCUAAUCUUCCAUAUCCUUAUCAACUUAAUUAGCUGAGAGCUUCUCCUUUUCUCUCUAAUUUGAUCGUGUGCAUGGUAGAGAGCGCGACUCGAGCUCGGGAGAUUUUCGUCGUCAUUUCGGAGGGCCGUUUGAGGGUGCGUGCGUCGUGGUAGCGCCAUUGGAGGCCGGGCGAGCGCGUGUUUUCCUUUCCUUCUGACUUCUCACCGUCGUUGGAUUAGCUUUUCAAGGUGGGUUGAUGUUACCGAAAAUUUCGGAUUUCCUCCUAAGCCGCAAUUGACAGUAUGUAUUAUUGGGUUUUGUAUAUCAUGUUCUAUAGCUCGAAUUCGUGGAUUUGCAUGUUCUUUAAAUCUGAAUUUGGAGCUUAGUUAUUGGUUUAGAUAAAUUAUAUAUGUUGGACUUGGAUUUGAUUUAGGAGAAAUAUUUAGAUUCUAUACUGUCAUUUUCUUAAAACUACCAGAUUUAGCUUUAGGAAUUGUAGUUUGUUUGUAUCGCCGCAGUUUGUAUGCGGUGAAUAUCCAGAAUAGUGUAGAAUAAAUUUACGCUCGUGCUGGGAUGUCGAAUGUAUUUUUACAGUAGUGUCUAGACUGUUCCGGACUGUCGGGUGCCGUUGCGGUUGACGGUGGACCCGGAUUGCUGUUUUUGCAUCAGAUUGUGCCGAGAGCAUGUUUAUUAUAGUUGUUAGACCAGUUAGACCAUUCUGUUUUGAUUACAGCCUGUGAGAGCCUGAUUGAGCUCGGCAGAGAUACGCUUGCAAUUUUGGUUGGGUAGCGCCUACGAGUGCCACUCUGAAGUCGGGCUUUGUGCUUUUGCGUUAUUGUCGUUGUGUCCUGAUUGGACUCGCUCUCCACUGACGACCCAGCGUGGAGGUAGUUAGUGUAGCUUCGACAGGCGGGACGGGUGUGUUCACAGUCCCUAAUGAGAUUGGGUCAGUCAUUGCAUUUUACUAUCCUUGAGCAUACUUCUGUAGACUUAGUGGGUGAGCCGUUGAGGUCGGUAGCGGCACCCACUGAGGACUACUUCUUUUUGCAGUAGUUCUCACACCCGGUUGUUGAACCCUUUUUGCAAAGCCUUCUUCUUCGGCUGCUGCUGUUGUGGAUACUGAUCGUGGAAAGAGAGUCGCGAGUUAAAUCCCUUCCCGUUUUGCUGCUGAUCUAGAGAUAUACCCGCUACAGGUAGUGUUGAUUUUUUAUGCUUAUACAUACUGAUGUUAUAUCCUUGCUCGAGCGAGUGCUUUGUAUCUGGAGACUAUGUAUGUAUAAAGAACCUGAUGUUAUUUAUAUAUGUUUUUCAGUUUAGCAACUCUCUACUACUAGUUGUAGUUUUGUACGAUUAUAGGUACAGAUACAGCUAUCGCUUCGUAUACAGGAAAAAUUUCUAUGUAUACGGCGAAUUUGUCGGCAUGCCCGGGGAAACGAGUAAUUCGGGGCAUGACAAGUUAAAUAUCUACCACAGUUAAAAAAAAUUAAAAUACCAAUUUUGCCCUUAACUUAAGGGCAAAUAAGAAAUGUUGGUGACGGUAGAGGGGUAUAUUGGAAAAUACCAAAAGUCAAAAUACUUUUUGUACCCCUGACUUUAAGGGCAAAUAAGAAAGACAGUGAUAGUGGAAGGGUAUAUUUGAAAGGACAAAAUAGUAAUUUUACGAGAUAACAGAAUUAAUUAACAGAUUUUAACUCUAGGGGUAUAUUAGAAAUAGGUUGGAACGUAGGAAGGAUAUUUUCAAUAUUAGCUUUCUAAGAGGAAUAAAUUGAAAAGUCGGAAACUUUUCAGGGGUAUAAGCAAUUGCCCCUAUUUUUUAACCAACUUUUUCUAUUAAUGCUAUUUCAUUCUUUCCUUCAUUUUUUACCAACUAUUAUUUUUUCUUUGAGCCAACUCUUGCAGAUUUUUUUCGACUUCUGCAACUCUAAAUUUCAUUAUAUCUAUAGCUGUUCCUGCUACUAUUGCUUCAGCUGCUUCUAUUUUUAUUUGUUUGUUAUUCAAAAAUUUUUAAUUCUUCUUAUGUAUUUACUAUUUUGUCUUUUCUUAGCUUUUUUUAUAAGAUCUCAAAUAUUUCUUCAGGUUAUCUAUACAUCAAAUUUUUUUCUCUUAUAGUUCUAUUUUUUUUCAUUUUGUUUGUUCUCUAUGGUCGAAAUAUGAUAUAUUAUAUUAUAAAUAUAAUAACGAAAAUAAUCAAAUAUUAUAAUUUAAAGAGAAGAAAUAAAAAAAUUUACAACAAAAGCUAAAGUUAAAUAUCGAAUAUUAUCUACCGCCGCAUCGCGUUGGUCACUAUACUAGAAGACAAUUAAAUCUCAUUCCAAUCCCUUCUAUUUUCACUUUCAAUCCCACCACACUCUUAAAGAAGAAAAUUAUUUAAUAUUUAAAAAAGUUUAAACUUGCUAGAUAAAUAUAAAUCGGUUGACCAAAAGUUAAUCCAUUAGAUAUAGUUUAUGAUAUUUUAAAGGCUUUAUGUGUAAAACUUAUAAAUUUGUAUGUCUAUAUAUUAAAAUCAGACAAUAUAUUUUUAUCUAUACCAAUAAUCUUUUGAAUUAUUUGAGAAGUAGUUAAUAGAUUUUUUUUAAAAGAUUUAAAUAUUUUCUCUAUCAAAUUAAAUUUUAUUUCAAAAUAUUUAGCGUAAAAUACUGAGUUUGGUGUACGAGCUAAGGAUGCAUUGGGUGCAAGAACAAAUACCCUUUUCUUUCCUAAUCAGCUUCAAGUGAGAAGUUCCUCCGUCUUAUAAAGUAGCCUACACCGAGUGCAUCUGAUGUUUGUGCACCUUCCAUUUAUCAAUCCUACAUUUUAUAUUACAUUUUAAUCUAAGCCAUCUAGAUAACUUUAUAAAUUUAUAUUUUUAAUUUUUGAUGAUUGAAUCAAAGAAUAUAAUAGAAUAAAGAGUUCAUAGACAAGGAGUAUACUUGGUAUAUGAAUACACCUGGUGUAGGCUUAAUUUUUUUUUAUUUGAGAUAUUAAGCCUAGAAUUUUAAAAUUUUGUCCCCAUCAUAGUUUGCUAAUUAAUUUCAUAUCUUAUUCUACUGGACAUCCGUAAUAGUGUAGUUAAAAUUCAAAAUAUGCAAGCUUAGAAAAGGAUAUACAAGAUUCACCCGAAUUGGAUCGGAAUGUUCCAUUUUGGAGCCAUUUGGUUGCAUAUAGUUGCAACUACACUGCAGUUGUAACUGCAUGUAAAUACAAAUUCGGUGUUUGAUUUGAUAUAUUUAACUCCAACUGUUGUAGUAGGAACUGCAGAAGGAGGUCCAACUGCAACAGUUCGAGCUACGCCCAAAUUGGCCACAGUUCCAACUACAGCAAUUGGAGAGAAUAACUUUAAAUAAAAGGUAUACUUACCUUCUCAAUAUUUUUUAAACAAAAAUUAUUUUUCUUCUUUACGUUGGAGGUAAUCUCACCAUCAUAUAUAUCAAAUGAUAAAAUUUUAAAAAUUAUUUCUCAACUGUAUACAAACAAAUAAAUUAUUUAUACUUGCAGCGUUUUCUACUACAUCCAACCAAACAGAAUUAAUAUAGUUGUAACUGUUGUAUUUACAACUGUAUGCAUCUCUAACUAUACUGUAUUUAUAAUUACAUCUAACCAAACGGCCCCUUUAUUUCGUAAGGUCGGUGAUUCGACUACAAAUUUAGAACUGGUUAUCAAUUCGAGCGAUCACAAACUUACCAUGCAUGCAUGUUAUAUUUCGACUAUCCUGGCUUUAACUCAUUUACAUCCCAGGCACCAUGUGGGAGACAGUCAGGACUUCCAAUGCGAUCGGCGACCUCGACUUCGCAUCCAAAUAACCCACCACCACUAUCGUGCGCUUGGAGAUAAGGGCAUCCAAACAUGUCCUUCCCCAAAUUCAUAAAUAUUAUAUUGGAAAAUUUGUUUUUAUUGUGUCUACAAGAAAAUAAUGGUACAAAAAUGAUCACCACUUCUCUUUCCCCCUCCAUGAAUUGUUGAACACAUGGAGUGGGGAGUAAUCAUUUAGGAUUAAUAAUUCAUUAAUUCACAACUGCAUUAUUAGAAAAGUGAUGUGUUUUGAUCGGUUCUGAUGAGCCCUUCCAAUUCAAUUCUUGGACAAAGUAAUUGAACAAACUAAUCAGCUUAGUGAUAUAAUAUAGAACGCUACGAGCCCAGAGUUCAAACUCCUGGUCAAUUGAAAAAAAAAAAAAAAUUUCUUAAUAAUGUAAAAACUUGAUUUAGAUACUUGAUUUCAUCUCAUCGUCCACCUGAGGUUUAUAUUUUGUUGCUAAUGGCUAAAUCGAAGGAUAUAAGUGCCCAACUGUAUCAACCAUACCAAAUCGUACCAACAAAAUAAAAUAUCAAUAUGACACAAUCCUUAUGCCAAUAGCACAGCUCAAAACUCUCUAUUUUUUAAAUUAGUAAGGAAAUUUCUCAAUAAAGUUUAAAAAAUUUUCUAAGAAUACAAAAUAAACAGUUAGAAUUUUAUUGCUAAAAAAAAAUAAUUCUUUCAUGUCAUUAUAUUGUCGAUACAUAUGUAUCUUUUAUAACUGGCACGUAUCGGCACAAUCCGACACACUGUACCGACAAGUUACCGGCACGAUCCUAUGCUACGGCAUUUAAAUUUUUAGAUAGGACCCACUUUCGAACUGGUGGGGCCUAUAUUUCAAGUAAGCUUUCAUCGAGAAAGGCCGGACCAUCCGAGAAGCUUCACGUUUUAUCCGAUCAUCUCUCCCAACAUCACAAAGUGGAACUCAUCUGGAGCUUUCCACAUAAUUGUAUGUUAUGUUAUUAACAGAGUUAAUUUUGAUAUCGAUAAAUAAAGUUUACUGAUGAAGUUGAUCAAAUUCAAUGCCAUUUUCCUUGACGAAGAUGUGCAUUGAAAUAAUGUAUGUCGACUAACCUUUUAAUGAUGAGUGGAUAAUUGCACCUCAAUCAUUUUAAGUAGUAAAUGUCACCAAACCUCAUUAUUUGAUCGUCCACAUUAACAUUUGCAGAUUAAUAAAUUAGCAUGCACAAUUUGAACUAAUAUUUCAUUUGAACAAUGAAACGAAUACCUUAGUAUCUAAAAUAAUAAUAAUAUAAUAUAGAAUGAAAUGAUAGAUUAACUGUACUCCUUACAUUCAAAGUGUAUGAUUCCCAACAAAAAUAAAAACUUGAAAAUAUAUAUAUUUUUUGCUUUUUAUAUUUUUCUUUUCUUUAUUUAAAAAAGUUAUUCACCACUUAAGUGGAGUGGGUAACAAGUUUACCGAUCCUAACAAUAAGAAAAAGGAUUAAUUUAAAACAGGUCCCUAUAAAUAUAGUGAAUAGUAAAUAUAUUUUUACAAAGUUCAACUUAAUUUCAUAUGUUGUCCCUACAAAAGUCCUGAUGUUUUCAAAUAUAUCACUGCUGUUAGAAUCCGUUAUAAAAGUUUAGUUAACCAUAGAUUAAAUACUUAAUCUUGGUUAAUUUUUGAUAAUUUUACCCUUCUUAUAUUAUACUAUUAUGGCUUUUGAAGGGAUAUAUAUUUGUGUUAACAAAAUUGAAAAUAUAAACGGUUCUCUAACGGUAACAAGCCAGAGAGAUAUAUUAGAAAAUAUGAGAACCCUAAGAAAAAAUUCCUCCUUGAUGUUGCAUAUCAGAAUAUAUAAAUUAGUCAAAAAAAUAGCAACAAUACCAAACAUCUAUAUAUCCUCUAUUAAUCCCCUUAUUAGACAUCCACGUGUCAUCUUUUGCUUAAUCCCUUCUCAAAAUUUUGUACACGUGGCCCUCUAAUGGGUCCCACCUGCAGUGUUUCAUGCACACAUGGGCUGGAUCCUUCACAGGUUAUUCACAUUAACCCAUUGUGGGUUCCAGCUGUAGGUGACUUUAUGUGAACCCUACUCAUUUCAUUGGACCGAUUCUUCAUUCUUCCUUUAUUUACUUAUAUUGAUUUUUUUUUUUCUAAAAUAACGUUUCUUCUCCCUCUAAUCUCUGCUAACCACACCGCUUCGACCCUUUCUUGAUUUCGAUCCCUGCUACCCCCGCCGGAUCCGCCGCUUCGAUCCCUGCUACCCCCGUCAUUUCGAUCUUGUCGGUUGCUCCCUUAAUGCCUGAAAAAUGAGUUUGGUUCAUUCUCGCUCCUUCUUUCGUCGCCUCCGUUUUGUUUUCCUGUUGCUUUGAUCCCCUCUAUCAGCACCUCUGCUGCUUCGAUCCCGGCGAUUGGUCCCCUCUGCUGAUAAAAAUAUAGGUUCGGUUCACAUUUCCCCUUUCCCUGUUGCUUACGAAGAGUUGUUGCGCCUCAAUUUUGUUUCCCUGUUGAUUACGAAGAGUUGAUUCAUGCCGUUCCCAUUACAUGUUGGAGCCUAUAUAAUGAACAAUCUAUCAUCCCCCACCUCCCAUGCUGCCACUGUCAUCUAUUCCUAUAAGAGGACUCGGCAUCGCUGGCUACAUGCACCUGUGGAUCUGAUUCAUCUGCUUCCACUGAUUUUUUUUUUCAUUUGAGCCCUAUUCUUUUAUUCAUUUUAUAUUAUUGCUAAUUUUUUUUCCUACUUUGUGCAUCGACACUUCUAACAUUUUUUUUUUUCUUUUUUCUCUUUGCAGUUUGUUUUGUUUUAUUGCCGCUUGGGAUCGUUCAGUUUUAAAACGGUAUGCUCUCUUUAACAGAUCUCUUUUGCAACAACAUAAGUAGCGACUAAUCUUUAUAAUUAAGUAUGAAAAGAACUGAUUUAGGGUGAGUUUUUAUUACUUGGUAACCAAUAUACAACUACCAUAUCUCAGACCUGUGAUUAAUUUGAAACAAGUUAAAAUUAGUCAAUUAACUUCCGAUCCAAAACUAUGUUCAGGUAAAUAAGUAUGAAAACGCAUCUGGUUGAGUUUGAACUCGGUCAAGCUGGCUAUAAAUCAAAAUUUUUAACUAAGUGAAGAAGCUCUGUUCUAAAAACUAAACUGCAAUUAACGAGAGAGGUUGCCCGACGUAGUUGAUGAGCAUUUUGAACUUGCUCCUGCCCUGAGAGGCGAGCUCCAAAUGCAUCUCCAUAGUCAUGACGUCUGCGUUCUGUCAUAGCUUUCCGAUCGACAAGGUGCACUGCUCCUCGAGCUCCCUGACUAUCGUCGCUGCCCUCACCCACCACCCCAGCUAUGCAUGCGGUGCCACACCACCACCUCUGCCACUGCACACCGGGGGAAAAAAGAGAGAAAAUUAUAUACUAUAUACUUGAAAUGGUUGUUGUUCUUAUUAUUAUGGUGUAACUUUUGUUUUGCGAGGAAUGAAAAAAAUGGCAUGCUACUUGUAAGGUACCGGACUUCUAAAACUAUUAAGUUACGGUUUACAUUCGAUUGGAGAGCCAUUUGAAUGGUCCCGGUGAAGUUUGAUGAGGUUCGGGAGCUAUCGGGUGUUUCGGUGCGCGUAGGCGCUAAAACGGACCCGAAAGGCUAACUUGGGCCGUGAGCUAAAUCCGGAAUUAGCGAGGUUGGAAAGAUGAUGAAAACAUGUUUGAAAACAUGUUUGGAGAGUCUCGGUUCGAUUUGAGACGAAUCGGAGGUCAAACGAACGAAAACGGGCGAAAACGGAGCGAAAACGGACGAAGCUGAAAAUUGGCUAAGUCUGGGCUGGAGGUCUCUCUGGGACCGGUCCCAGGUAGAGAGACCGGUCUCUGAGAGACCGGUCCCUCAUGUAGAGACCGGUCCCCGAACCCCGAAAAUGCCCAGUUCGGGCUGUUGCAAGAGAAGCUUUGUUGAGGGGUUUUUAUGCAAUUGUUGCAUGGGUUAAGUGUAUAGAGAGGAGUAGAACACCUCUCUCUCUCUUUCCCUCACCGUUUCACCACCUCUCUCUCUCUCUAAACGAAAUAGAAGAAAAGAAGAAGAAGAAGAAGAAGAAGAAGAAGAAGAAGAAGAAGAAGAAGAGGAUGAGCUUUCCAUCUUCUUCAUUCCUUCCUUGUGCUUGGAGAGGCUUUAGGAGGUAAGCUUCUUUGAAGCUCUUUAAUGGUGAUUUCUUAGGGUUUGGUUAAUACACUCUAAGAAUGGUUUAGAUAGAAUCCUAGCAUGCUUAUGAGUAGAUUAAUGCAUGAAUCUAGGGAUUUAUUUGGGGUAUUUUGCCGUAGUCGCAAACUAGGGCUCAAAAAUGGGAUUUUUGUAAAUAGAUGGGUUUGAUCUCAUUUAACCCUCUGUUAACCUAAUUGGGGGUAUAACGAACGCGUUGGUGCGCUCGGUUCGACAAUCCGACGAGCGUACGUGAAGUUAUUAACGAAACAGUCCGUUUUGGUACAGAUAGCCGCAGCACGCGAGAUAAGCCUCCAAAAAUCAUGAAAGCGGAUCGGGAGCAUCGUGGUGUCGUGGAAUAAACUCCAGAAUAGACGGAUCGCGGAUUGGUGGCCGUUCGGGUGGUCGCGCAAGAGUUCGAGCCGAACCGGGUCACGGGUGCCGCGGGAGGCCGAUUGCAAGUGUCGACGAGCAAUCGGAACGCGAGUUAAGGUGGGUUGUGUUUACCGAAGCGACUAGGUCGCCCUUUAUGUCUAAGAUGAUUAAGAAUCCACGUUGAUGCAUAUGAAUGUAAAUGAGGCAUAUAGAUGAUGCAUAUAAAUGUAAAUAAUGCAUGUUAAUAAUAUGAUGCAAAUGCUAAGUAGAUCCAUGUAAAAUGAUAUGAUAUAGAAUACAUGCUAGUGAUAAUGCAAGUGAUAUGUAUGUGUGCAUUGGAAUGUAUGCUAGGUGCAUGUAACAUCAUGUGAGCAUGUUAGAUAAGAUGCAUGUGCAUAUGGACUCGAUAUGACAAAUAGGAUAUCAAGUAGAUCGAGUGGCAUUAACCUAGUGUUAAUAAACAUAGGUCGAACAUAGAUGACAUUGAACCUAGUGUUGUUGAACCUAGGAUAAAUAACGAGUGGCAUCUAACCUAGUGUUAAAGAACAUAGGUUGAGUAUGAACCUAGAGUCGGGAUCUAGGUGUGUGGCAUCUAACCUAGUGUUAAAGAACAUAGGUUGAGAACUGAACCUAGAGUUAAGGUAAACCUAGGUUGUGAAAUUGAGGCAUUAGACCUAGAGUCAGUUGGACCUAGGGUGGAAAGUGCAUUGGACCUAGAUAGGUCAAUAGUAUAGGGUUGGAUAUGGACCCUUGACUUGUGAAGUCGAUUCCGGAAUCCCAGUACUUGUGAACUCAAUAGUUCUUGGACCGCGGGUGUAUGCGGCGAUGUUCCUCUCCCACCGGAAAGAACUUUGAGGAUUAUGACUAAGCAAGAACAAAGAGCGCUAGGGUGGAUGCGGUAUAUUCCUCUCCCUAUCGGGGAUCUCGGCUAUGGGUGUACGCGGCUAUGUUUCCUCUCCCACUGGCGGAUCCCUGACCACGGUGCACGGACCUUCGGGCGGACCGUUGGGCGAUGUGGUUCUUGGCUUGCAGGCUGAGGUGCAUGCGACAGGAUCCUUCACCUCGAGCCGGGCAGAGCGCGGAUUAUCCGCUGUUGAUUGACUCGAGGCCGAGUCGGGUGGCUAGCUGGAAUAAGGUAGAUAGAACCUUGAGGGCUAGUGGUAAAUGUGAUAACCUAAGGUAGUGGAAACCUUAGAGUUGGAUGACAUGAGCUAAGAUUAGCGAGAUUGAUUGUAGAAUCAAUAAUUCUACUAGUUGUUGCAUAUAUUCCUGUUGCAUAUAGCAUGACAUCAUUGCAGUUGUGAGGCAAAGCAAGGUAAAGUUAGUUGCAUGUUUAUGAUAUACAUAUCUAUCUGUUUAUUGGACUAACUUGUAUUUGCCUCCCUUGGACCUGUUGGUCGAGCUCCUCCCUUGGGUGGCCGUACCCACUGGGAACCAUGGAGUUGGUUCUCACCCCACGUUGUUUUGGGGUUUUACAGGUUCGCACGUGAGCGGCGCGGCGGCGCGAGGCAAGGGCGUAGCUCCAUAGAUAGCGCCCUACCCCCAGAGACCAGAGCUAGCAGUACCCCGUCGGCGUAGCUUAGGGGUAUAGAAAAUGAAAGGAAUAAAAUGUAUUAAACUUGUAAUAGCUUAGAUUGUAUUUGGAAGUUGAAUGUAAUAUAUAAAGUGUGAUGUAAGUAAAUGAAUCUAAUGUGAAUGUUGUAAUAAUAUAGGAUGUGUUUAUGUUGAUUGAUACCUUCCUGAUGCAAUUCUGUUUGCUGAGUACUGUUCCUGGUUGGAACCAUUGUAAUGUACAUUGUUUGGAUUGCGACGCCUAGAACGUACAGGGGAGACUCUGUCCGCGUACAGGGGAAACCCCGGUCCGUUCGGCGGUCUGUCGGCGUGCCCGAACCGGACCAAAUUGGGAGCGGUCUCGGGGCGUGACACUACUCUUCCUAUUACUUUUUACUUCCAAAUUUUUUGUGAGCUCAUUAUUAUUUUUGAUAUUUGGGAGAUUUUCAAAAUGUUAUGCUACAAAGAAAAGAUUUUGCUACAACAAUAUCUGUCUGCCGCAUCGCGCGGGUUAUUAUACUAUAAAACUAUGAAUCCUCAUAUCUUUCAAGCUGACAUGGUCCAACCUCCUUAAUUUGGGGGUGGGUCCCAUCAAUUUUUUAUUUUUUAAAAUUAAUUGAAUUUUCUCUUUUAUUUUUUUUCUUUCCUAUGGAUAGAUUAUCAUUUCUCUAAUUUGGGAAUAUAGCCCCAUUACCCUUAAAUUAAAAGUGCGGGUCCCACCAAUUUUUUUUAUUUUUCUAAAAUUAAUUAGAUGUUGAAAGGUUGGAUAAAAAUUUAAAAAGUUGGGAAUAUGAAAAGUCGUAUAUUUUAAUAGAAGAAAAUGAAAAGUCAUUUUAGAAUAUAAAAGGUCAAUUUAGAAUUUAUAUAAAGGGUUGUACUCAUACUCAUUUUUGAUGAAUAAGAAAUGAUAUAUACUAAAUACUAUUUAUUUUGUCUCAAGAAAAUUGAUCGCAUCUGCCUAUAACGAUUAACUAUAUUUGAAAGGUUCUUUUUUUAUUUGAAUUUGAUACUUUAUUUGUUUACUCAGAUUUUUCUACCAUAUAGUAUAUUUUAAAUCGCCCAUUAUUCUAGAAACUUCAAAUUGCGCUAGAUCAAAGUUACGCAGCCGAUCCGAUUCAGAAAUUUCCAUCAUCGAAAACGGCUCAGAAGCGAUGGAGGCUCGUGCUCCUGAGAGCCACAGAGUCCUACUCCAUAUAUAUAUAUGUAUAUAUGAUCUAUAUACAUAUAUCUAUACUAUAUAUAUAUAUAUGAAAUAUAAGGCUGAAUACUAUAAUUAGUGAACGCUUCUUUUUUUUGUUGCCUACCAAAGUUUUUAACUGAUGAAAUGUAGGGUAGGAUGAUUUAGUCGGUUAAGAGGGGAGUGCUGGGUGAGUGGUCCCUACUGGUUAUUAUAUUAUUUAAUCUUUAAAUGGUUAGAAAAUAAUUGAAAAGUAGUGAUCCAAAGGCUAAAAAUCAGGCAACAAGAAUUUUGCUACUAAUAGUACCAGCCACAUCUAUAAUAUUUAUAUUAUAUUAUAUAUUAUUUAUUUAUAAUAAAUAUAUUUUCUGAAAGGUCAAUAAAUAGAUAAGAUAAUAGUGAGACAUAUAAACUGUAUUUUGGACACUAUGGCAAAUAUCAUGAUCUGUUUGAUCAUCGUCAUUUGCACAGCCUGAUGCAUGUUUGAGUUUGACAGUGAUCUACUCGGUUUGUGGUAGCACCCGCCUGUAUGUGCCAUCCGGAGGUUGGGCUAUAAGAUAUUAUUAUUUGCCAUGGGACCAGCAGUUGCUGGUGGGUUUAGCAACCACAAUUAGUGGUGUGCUGAAGGGCGGCAUGAUAGACCUGAGUGGUUGAGUCGAUCAUAUGAUUGGUAAUUAUUUAGUAUUUUUAUUUAGUCUCUAAUAAACAUGCAACGUAAUUUACAAUUUCAGCUGCUAUGAGGCAUGAUAGUAGAGUUAUUUUCGACAAUUAUUCUUUAGAUUAGUAUAUGUUCUUUCAUAUUGCUCAGUUUUACUAUUUUGCCUCUUAUGGAACCUAGUGGUGGUAGAUGUCAGUGCUGACGAUUGUACCACCGGGGAACUAUUGAUUAUGUAUUUCAUUACGCUUUUAUUUAAUAUUUUAUUUCGAACUUUCAGAACCACGACUUCGCAUAUAAGCGAUGUGGAUACUAUUGCAUUCCUACCCUUUGUAUGUGUGUGUAGUUGGCCUAUUAGUAGAAGCCUGUAUAGUAUUUUGAUACUUGGAGUUGAGUGGAGGCGGUCAAAAUGUUGCUCCAUUUGAAGAUUGGUGUGGUAAUGAUGUAAAUCGUUAUAGUGUGCUUAGCAUAUAGUUUUAUUUUUCUCUAAACCUAUUAUUGUUUAGUUUAGUAAUUUGUUGAACGAUUUUUGACGGCUUUCGUAUGUAUAAGGUGUAUUAUUGUGAAUUGCGGCGGGCUGUUGACGUAACCGGGUUUCGCUGUAAUCCGGGAUUGAUAAUUUGAUUUUUAGAAAGUUUUUAUUUAAUACGUUUAAUGGUAUGGAUCAUCAUUGGGCUGCUAGGUCAUCGAAAACGGAUUUAUAGUUACGGCGACAUCGUACCAAGAGUAUAGUAGCCGGACUCUAUUAUAUAUAUAGUAUAGGCAGGCUGUGGUACUCUCAGGAGCCGGGGCUCUUGUGCUCCUGAGUGUUUUCCGUGAUGUGAGUUUCGAUAUUGACGAUCGGCUACAUUAGACUUGAUCUAGCGUCUAUUUGAAAGUUUCUAGAAAAUAAUUUUGCAAUUUUUCGAUAUUCAUUUUACUACAAUCGAAAGGAUUCAAAAUGCAAUAUUUUUAAACGGACUUGAAAAUAAAUCAGUAACAUGGUGAUAAACAAUAAAAUUUUCGAUCAGGAAUAUUAAUUUGUUGUAGAUGUAUAUAUAAUAUAAUUUUGUGAUCAAAAUUUCAUCUGAUUUGUACUCUAGCUUCGUUAAACUUGGGAAAACACAGAUAUAAACAUUUUAAAAUUAUGGAUUUUGAAUCCUUUCGAUCACUAGCGUAAAUGAUAAUCAAAAAAUCCAAAAAUUAUCAAGAUCUAACGGAGCGUUAGUCGAUUAAGAAAAAUUCCAUCAUCGAAAACGCUCUCUGUGCCUCUAGAGCACAGCAGCCUGCUCUGGAUAUUUAAUUUUAACGGGCACUGACAAUAAAUCCUAUAAAGUUGUGAUAUAGCACUAAAUUUUUGAUUAGAAACAUAUUAAUCUUGUUGUCGAUAGUAUAAAAGAUUUUGUAAUCAAAUUUAUCUGAUUUGAUACUCUACUGUUAAUUGAAACAAGCAGAUAUCACCAUUAAAAAUUUUAUUGGAUUUAUGAAUCUUUUCUCACUUGCGUAAAUGAUAUCAAAAUCACAAAAUUACAAGCUUAACGGAGCGAUGGUCGAUCGAAAAUUUCCUUAUCGAAACGGUCAGGCAGCACGAGCCUCUAGCUCGUGAGGCCACGCAGCCUCAAAGCGAUAAUCACUAUUAAAUAUGGAUUUAAUCCUUUCCGUCAUAGGUAGAUGAUAUCAAAAUCGAAAAAUAUCCAAGCUUAAGGAGCGCGAAUCGUCGAUUUGAAAUUUCAUCAUUUGAAAACGGCUGAAGAGACGGAGGCUCCGUUGCUCCUAGAGACAGGCGAGCUGCUUAUAAGUGUUUUGUGAAUUUUUUGUAUUAUUUAUCUAAGUGAUCGAAAGGAUUCAAAAAUUCAAAUUUUUAUAGUUGUACUUGCCGUUCUACAAGUUUAACGGUGUAGAGAUUCAGAAAUCAGAUGAAUUUUGAUACAAAAUUACUUUGAUAACUAAUUACAACAGAUUAUAUUUUCUGAUCGAAAUGUUAGUGCACUAUAUCACCUUUUUUAGGAUUUUUAUUUACGUUUAAUAAUUAUUUGUUUUGAAUUUUUUCGAUUGCCUAGGUAACAUGCCUAUUGAAAAUCGUAAAAUAUUUUCUCGAAACUUCAUAACGCUAGAUCAAGAUCUACGGAGACGAUCUCGAUUCGAAAUUCAUCAUCGAAACAGGCUCAGGGCAUGGAGGCUCCAUCCUUCCUGAGAGACAAGCAUGGAGGCCUCGUGGCUCUGAGGCACCGCUAUGAGUUCAGCUAGAAUUCUAUCGGAUAGCGAAAUGGAGUUCCGGUUGACACCAUUGUUUUCGAUGAUAGGAGCCUCAAUAAUCGACGAUCGACACCAUUGAAAUAUUAUGCCAUUUUGAAAUUGUUGUAGAAAUCUAUUUCAUAUUCUUUUCGGGCUCAUUUACCUAAUAUGAGGCGUUUCAAAUUUGAAUUUUAAAGGUCGAUAUGAGGUGUUUCUCGUUUACGCGCCGUAAGAAAUAUCCAAAUAAUUGAAUUUUGUUUAGAAAUUUUUAACUAUUUGAAAACAGAUAUUACUCUUGAUCUUUGAUUCAAGACUCCUAUCUUUAUUUUUUAAGAAUUUUUAUUUUUUAGCCGGUCAUUUUUGUUUCCACUCGAUGGAUAUGGGCGAAAUAUCGGAAAUAUGUGAAUUUGAUUUCUAACAUUCAAGUAGUAUAGAUCAUGUUCAAUACGGUGAGAUCGUUUGAUUUGGAAGCGUCAACCAUCGAAAACAAUAUGGGUGGCACGAGAGUCGUUUGCUUUAGAUAGUAUUCUGACUCAACUCUUAUAUAUAAUAUAUAUAUAUUAUUAUAUUAAUAGAGUGAGCAAUCAUGACUAUUGGAAACAAGUAGUUGAGUGCUUUCGAUUUUUAGGCUUUGGAAAAGAUUCUACGCUGGAAUGAUGCGUCUCUUAGAGAGAUCGGUGGCGUAUUCCUAGGGUUGAGUGUCUAUUUUGUUAAUAAUAUUAAUCAAUGUUUAGAAUGAUCAAUGGAGUUUGAUCUAAGGGCUAUAAAAAAUCGAAAAAUCACCAACUACUGUAUCUUUCAUAGAUAGUAGUUAAUAUAUAUAUAUAUAUAUAUGUUAUCAAACUUUUAUUAUUUAAUUUCUUUUGAUGUAAAUACAUAUAAAGCCCAUGAAAAUGCAUUUAUUGAUAUACAAGUUUCAAUUUAGAUUAAAUAUAAGUCGGUCAACCUCAUAAUUUAUUUUUAUAUAAUUUUUUCUAAUAGUUUAACUUGUUCAUCUGAACUAAUUUGCGUUCCGGCUUCGUUUGUAUCUUUUAACAAGUUAUUCAUGUUCAAAUCCUAAAACAUGAUUCCCGCUAUUGCAAAUGCACCUAUUUGUAGUCAUAGCUGUUUAUUUAAAAUUUUUUAUUUUUAAUUUUAAAUGGGAAAUACGAUGGAUGGCAAAGUCAAUCAUUCUAUAAUCUGAGAGAAAUUUUAAUUUUCACUAGAAAUAAUAGGAAAAUUAUAGCUUGUUCAUUGAAAAUAAUUUGACAAAAAGUCAAAGCAAAAGCUUUUUAAAAAGGACAUUCGAAACUAUCUAGCAUUUUUAAGAUUUUAUUUUAAUUAGGACUAGAUUUUCAAUCCUAUUGUGGCCCUCAAGUGUGAUUACUAUUCUAUGUCUAGGUUAUAGGUUGACAAUUCAUAAACUAGUGUAUGUGCCCGCGCGUGCCGGGAUGUAGUAUAUUAUUAUUUUAAAUUUUAAUUUAAUUUUAGAUCCUUAUUUUUUUUAUAAGUUAUUUUGUAGAGAUGUAUAAACAAUUGGGACUAUAAAAGUAUUUAGUAAUUUAAAGUUAUAUGAAAAGUAUUGAAAGAUUUUUCUUUAAUCUUUAUUUUACAUUUGAAACAUCUAAGGUUAUCAAACCGCUUUAUUUUGACAAUUUUAUAGAUAUUUAAUAUAGUAGGGAGGGUAGAUUUAUUUAGUAAUAAUGAGAAAAUAUAUUUAGCAACAAAUCAAAUAUCAUUAUUGCUGCUAUGUAUGGAUAUUAGGUUGCCAUAAUAUGAAUUAUUUUCAAAAAUUCUAACACCCAAUAUAAAUAAAUUUCAUCAAAUUGCUUCAAACAUCAAAUCAUAUUUAUACAAUAAGGAUUAUAAUGUAACAAAUCAAAUAAUUAUAUAAUGGAAUCAUGUGAAUGCGACAAUUAAACAUAAAAUUUAUAUAAUAACCAAGAUACUAAAAUAAAUAUAUAAAAAAAAAAUAUAAAUUACUAUAAAAACUCUUAAAUUGGAUAAUCGUAAUCCGUAUUUAAUAUNNNNNNNNNNNNNNNNNNNNNNNNNNNNNNNNNNNNNNNNNNNNNNNNNNNNNNNNNNNNNNNNNNNNNNNNNNNNNNNNNNNNNNNNNNNNNNNNNNNNUGAGUUUUCGGCUGUUGGAUGAAAGGAUGUGCGGUUAGGAUGAUAGUGGUCCCCUAGGAUUGAGUAGGUGGUUGGUUUAAUAGUAUAAUCUAACGGGUGAAAAUGAUCAAAGGAUAGAUCUAACGGUAGAAAACUCAAUAGUACCAAGGAUUUGGUACUAUCGAUAGUAUAGUAGCCGGACUAUAUAUAUAUAUAAUCCGAAAAUUUCAGCAUCGAACAAAGUAAAACACUUGCUUUUUUUUCUUCAUCUAUUCUCACGUCUAGAGCCACGAGCUUGCUCACAAUGGAGUUGAAUGAACUUAGAUGUUUUUGUACUGGUGCCCCGUCCUUCAUCUUUAAAUUGUACAAUUGCCGCUUUAAGAAGAUUUCAUUCACCAAUGACUUCACUUCAUAGAGAUUCUUCAAUUUAACACAAAUUUCUUUUGCGGUAGUCUCGAUCUCGACGUUGAAUAGCACCAAAUCAUCUAGUGCCAAAUAUAGAUUUGCUAAAGCCAUCUUGUCUUUCUCUUCAAAUAGCUUAUCCGUCAUCCCUUUCGGCUUUUUCUCCUUUCAUUGUAGGGCGAUCUCGCAGGCAUCUUUAAUCAAAACUGCUUGCAUGUUAGUUUCCACAACGCAAAAUUAGUUCCAUCAAAUCUAGGAACCUCAUACUUCGUCGCUGUAACUCUCCCCGCCAUUGUUUCACCGUCAACGAACUAUAAAGAAACAAAUGCUCUGAUAUCAAAUUGAAGGGACUGGCCGUGGGGUUACCGAGCACAUCUCAAACCCACACGGCACAUAAGCGCAGUGAAAACAGGAUCUUUCGUAGACGUAAGAGAUGAGAACGAUCGUAGGAAAAAUAAGCAUAAGGAUAACAAAGCAAAAAAAAAAAUAAGAGAACGCAAGAACACAAGAUUUAUGUGGUUCAGUUAACCAUGAGUCGUCCUAUGUCCACGACUAAGAUCAACUCAAUGCUUUCUUCAAUUAAUCAACGACACAAAAGUACAAAGAAAAAAAAAAUAGUAUAAGUAAUUAGUUAAAUAUUUUGAAAAAAAAAAUCAAGAAUAACUUGUUAAUAAAUAAUUUAUCAAGAAUAACUUGUUAAUGAAUAAUUUAUCUUUCCUUUAAAGAUAGUUUUUACUAUUUUACAAUCAUUCAAUUCACAAAAAUGUCGUAAACUAAAGGAAAUAAAUCGACUAAUUAAAUGCAUAUUAAAAAGAGUAGAAUUUCAAACAACAAAAUACUUGAUGGAAGAACAUACCUAAUGGAGGAUUGGAAGAAGAAAAGGCAGUAAAAAGUUAAAAAGUUACUAAAUAGAUAUAGAUGAAUAAAAGUUUUUUUUUUUUCAAUUUACCAUAAGAGAUAAAAAAUUUCUAACCACGACACGCAGGUAAAUAACUUUUAGAUGUCAAGAAAUAAAAUUUGCAAGUGUCAAAAAAAAUUUUAAAAGUGUAAAAAAAAAUACGGUUGUCAAAAAGUUUGAAACGGUCUGUGUCAAAGUUCAAGAGAGUACAAAACCAAUUCAUCCAUAGUCUAUAGUAGGUCUAUGGUCUACAGUUGGAGCACCCAACAAACCCAAUAAACCAAAUAUCUAUAUUUCUUUUACUUAAUAUCUAUAAUACACCGCAUGCAUCGAAUAUUCAAAAUAGACAUAUGUCCACAAACAAAAAACCCUCCACACCUUUUAGAAUAUAGAUAUUGAAAAAAUUUCUACCCAUGACAUGUAGCCACAUAACUUUUAGGUGUCAAAUACAAAACUUGCAAGUGUCAAAAGAAAAAUUGGAAGUGUAAAAAAAAAAAAAAAAAAAAAAAAAAAAAAAAAAAAAAAAAAAACAAUUGUCAAAAAGUUUGAAACGGCACAAACCAAAUAACCUAAUAUCUAUAUUUCUUUUACUUAAUACAUGGUAUACCAGAUGCACCGAAUAUUCAAAAUUGACAUAUUUCCACAAACAAAGAACCCUCCGCACUCUUCAGAAUAUAGAUAUAGAUAUAGGGGGUGUUUGGCCUAGCUUUUGAAAAGUAAUUUUGGACUCAAAAAUGAUUUUCGGCUCAAUUGAGUGUUUGGUAACCUCGUUUUCGAAAUCUGAUUUUGAUUAUUAGAAUCAGUUUUCUAAUUUUCGAUGCUUAAAAUUAGAAACAGUUAAAACCUGCUUCUUGAAAUCUAAUUCUGAUUUUGGACUCAAAUUUUAAAUUUUUAUUUUUAUUUUCAAUUCAAAGUUUUAAUUUAAAUUUAAUUUUAAAUUUUAAAUUUUAAAUUUGUUUUUGAAUUUUUAAUUUUCAAAUUUUAAAAUUUAAAAUUUAAAAUUUAGAUAUUAAAUUUCAAAUUUUAAAUUAUAAAUUUAAAUUUAAAAUCUCAAAUUUUAAGUUUCAAAUUUAGAAUUUAAGAUAAAAUUUAUAUUUUGAAAUUUUAGAAUUUUAAUUUUAAUUUAAAAUUUAAAAUUUAAAAUUAUAUGUUUUAAUUUUUCAAAUUACAAAUUUCAAAAUUUCAAAAUUCAAAUUUUAAAUUUUAAUUUUAAAAUAAAAAUUUGAAAUUUAAAAUUAUUAAAUUUUAUUUUUCUAAUUUUGAAUUUUGAAUUUUGAAUUAUUAAAUUUUUAAUAUUUAAUUUUUAAAUAUCAAAUUUUAAAUUUUAAGUUUAGAUUUUGAAUUUGAAAUUAAGAAUUUAUAUUUUGCUUUAAAAACUCAAAUUGUAAAGUUUAAAUUUUCAAUUUUCAAAUUUAUUUCUUAAACUAAAAUAUCAAAUUUUAAAUUUUGUACAAAUUUUAAAUUUUAUUUCAAAUUUUAUAUUAUUUUAAAAAAAUUAAGUAAAAAUAUUAUUAUAUGCAAACAUCAAUUUUUUUUUUUUUGCCAAACAGCUUUACAAAAUUAUUUCAAAAAAAUCAGUUUUUUCUAAAUUCAGCCGAACGCUCUACAUUUUUCAACCAAAAUUAAUUCUUCAAAUCAAAAUCAAUCCUGAAAAUAAUACUUUUUCAGAAUUUAGGCGAAACGUGCACAUAGAUUGGCCUAUGGUUGAGCUGUCAACAAGUCAAACACGAACAAACUGGUGGAUUCUCGAAAUCGGGAGGUAAUCUGUAUUGUAUAUAUCCAACACAAAAUUAAAAUUAAAAGAAGCUUGUAUAAUCCAGCUCGUAUUCGGCUUAAACUUAAUUCGAGCUAAGCUCAAAAUUAUUUAAAGUCGUAUUGAAUCAAACUCUAAAUAAAUAUUAACACUAAGUAUAUAGUAUUAUUACUAAUUUAGUGUUACUUAUGCUUGCUAUUGCUAUCACUAUUACUAAUUCAUGCUAUAAUUUAAAACUCAUGCUUAUAAAAAUAAAAAAUGAAAACUUGAAAAUAAUAUUCAAAUAUUGCACUGAGCACGAGAUAGCUCACAAACAGCGAGCUGAAUUGACAGUCCCAACCAUCUUCUUAAUAAAUAUUUUUUUUAAAAAAAUAAUAAUAAUAAAAAAAAACCUCUUCAAUCAUAAUAAUAGAGCCUCUCACAACUUGAGUACUGAAACAGCACCCAAGGUUGAGUACCAGCUCCACCUGAUCCACACCUCUGAAAAUUACAAAGAACCCAAGAGAGCAAUGAAUCAAAUGCUAUUAUUACAGAGCUAUAGAUAGAUAUGAUGAGGUUCUAAAACUUUGCUCUCCCAAAACCCCCACACCCCAACCUCAGAGAUGGAAAUGUGGGUUCCAUUCUCUUGCCCACCAAGUGUUUGUUGCAUGUCCUCAGAGAAACUCUUUGUAUAUUAUGGGAGUUGAAGAGGGAGCAAAACAACAAAUCAACAUGGCAUUGUUGCCUCUCCCCUCUUCUUCUCCACUCUCUUCACCCACCACCUCCCACAUCACCAAAUCAAACAUGUCCCUUUCUUUUCUACCCACCUCACUGGCCUUAUCACCCAACAAUCAUCUUCUCCUCUCUCCUGCCUCCAAAACCAUCACACCCACUAAAGAAGAGGUGGCAUUGAGUUCCACGCCGCCGCCUUUAGUAGGCCUCGAUGGCGGGGUCGACUUGUCGUUGAUCGACCGGAGCAUUCUCCGCGAUCACAAGUGCUUGAAGGAGCUCAGCACCUGGGGAAUUGGUGGCCCAUGCAAGUACUUCAUUCAAGUUUCCCGGCCCUCGGAGCUCGUCUCCGCUAUCCGGUCGGUGGUCGUUUCGUCGAACACUUGUAUCGGACACUUUCGUCCGUAGCUAUAACAGGCUCUUCUUUUGUCGAAUUCUUGUAGGUACUGUGAAAUGAAGCGCAUUCAGUACUUGAUCGUCGGUAGAGGCUCGAAUUGCCUCUUCGAUGAUCGCGGUUUUGACGGCUUGGUGAUACUGAACCGGCUCGAUCAGUUUGAAGUGAUAGAGCCUGGAGUAUAUAUGGUCGGGAGCGGAUAUCCGUUCAAUCGAUUAGGUGUUAGGUGCUCCGUUGAGGGUUACUCAGGGCUCGAAUUUGCCGGGGGGAUACCUGGAACUGUCGGCGGGGCUGUUUUUAUGAAUGCGGGGGCUAACGAGCAGGUGAAUCAAUUCAUGUGGAUUUUCUCCAGUUAAUGAUAUGUUAUUAUUCAUAACACAAUGUAUUUAUAUAUAUAUACUAAUCAUGUUAAUGAUUGAUUGCGGAACCUACAAAAGUAAAUCAUAUUAUGGAGGGUCGAGGUUAGGUCUAGAAUUAUAGCAUUUACUGUUCAAAUGAUACAUUUGUUUUGUAAUCUAGGAUACUGGCAGCGUAAUUGACGAAGUGGAGAUUGUCACUACAGAGGGAGAGGUACAAAGGCUGAGGAGGAGCGACAUAGCAUUUGGGUACCGUUGGUCGUCGUUCCAAGAAAUGACGGACUUAGCUGCCAUCUUAUCAGCGAGGUUCCGAUUGACAGCUGCAGAGAAGUCGAGGGAGCGGCAACGGGCUCUACUGGAGAGGUGAGGUUUUGUAUACCUAGAUCAAUUUUUUCUUUUCGUUUAAGUUAGAUGCAGCAAAGUAUCGUCGAGUUUAAUUUUGUGUAAUUAUUAUCUUAAAGAUUGCUCACCUGCUCUCGCUAGAAACUGGCACCAAUUCCUGGAGGACUGUUACGACGCAGUUAGCUGAUCAUAAAUCUAUCAACUUAGUUUCGAGCUUAGUUAGAUCUAACCGUUGUACUAAUGAUUUUCUAUUUUGAGGUGAUUAAAACUUAACUUGCUUGAUUCUGAAAGCUUCACAUGGGAAGUUCAUGACUGAUGAGUUAUUAUACUGUUUUCGACCUAAACUUCAGUUUUAGCAUAAUAUCAAAAAACAUCAUUAGUUGAUGCGGCACUCUAUUAUAUAAACUCCACUGAAUGAAACUGUCGCUAGCCUUCGGCGGCAGAGUAGAAUGCGUCGGGAUGAGUUCAAUUUUAUAUGAUAAUAUCAUCGCCCAUUUCACGUUCGUAAGUGGGAGAGGUCUGUAAAUGAGAUGGUUAACAAUACAUCUUAUUUCUUAAUCCUUUCUUGAAUUAUCUUCUUUCACCUAUGUUUCUCUCCUAGCAUAACUUGGCAAUUCGUCGCUUAACUGUAACAGUUGAUCAUGCAAACCCUGGUUAAAUUAAAGUGAAAAAAUAAUCAUAGUUGAUGUCUUGUUGACUACUAACCUCCACAUCCAAAUUUCUGUUGAAUCUGCCAAGUCCUUCAUUAAUGCGAAAUUGAAGACACAGAAGAGACCUCAGAACAAAAAGUUAAAAGAAAGGGUUAUCCUUCACUUCAUAUUUAAGACUCUGCUAUUAAUGCUAAGCAGUCGAAUGCAGGCGUAGGAGGACCCAGCCGAUCAGAGAACGAACCGCGGGGUCCGUGUUCAGAAACCCUUUGAAUUUAGGAAUAUCGGCGGGAGAAUUAAUCGAGUUGGCGGGGCUCAAAGGGUUUGAGAUAGGAGGUGCAAAAGUUUCUCCACUUCAUGCUAAUUUCUUCAUCAACUUCAACAGUUCUACCUCCUCUGACAUGCUAUUGCUCAUCAACCAUGUAAAAGAAGAGGUGCAUAGGGUUUUUCAGGUGCAACUCAAAGAAGAGAUGAGAUAUGUACCUUACAGAAAUUAAAUUUUAUAUAUGCAAAAAUGAAUUGAAUUCUUUUUGAUCUUCGCAGUCAAUUAAGUACUUGCAAUUAGUGCAAAGUGUGUUACUUAAUGUAGUUUUUAUGAUGUAUUACUUCUGAAAUAAGAUGUUCAGCUAAUAGCAGAUACAUGUGAUUUGAUGUUUGUUGUUAGUAACUUCGCAAAUAAUUGCUCUCAAUAAUGAGGAGCUUAUUUCAAAGGGUAUACAAUAGACCCAACACCUAGAAGUGCUUUUACUAGUCUUUCAAUUCCUUUGAAUGACUGAUGAAAUCUUCCUCAACAGUUUUUGUCAUAUUUCCAGUUUCUUCUGAAGUCUAAAUGUCAUAACUUUAUGAAAAUAUUAAGUAUCUAUUUUACUUUUUAUGUUCAUUAGAAACCAUAUGAUCCAAUUAUUCAUUACUAUAUUACUUCAUUAUUGGAAAAUGAUAGGGUAGUGAGUCUCAGGUGAGUCAGAUCACUCUUAUACUAUUGCUGUGUUUUCACCCUUAGCAUGGACAAAAAUGAACAAUCAUGAUUCUUUUGGGUGAGGAUGAAUUGCCCUCCAUGAUAAUCACAUAUGAUUUUUCUUUUUCUUUUUUUUUACCAAGUUUGAAUUCACUACUUAUGCUACAUUAAAUGUUUUCUUUUGAGAAAAAGCUUGAAAAAUAUCUGAAGCUUGACUAACAUAUCUUUAGUAUCAUAAUCAAUAGAACUCUGUGAUGCAGUUUAGUCUCCGCAUCAUAGAGUCCGGCCACCCUCUACUAUAAGAUGUUCCUGAAAAAUUGCUUUCCAGGUAAAUCGCAUACCUUAUUUUCCUAUGAUCAGAGUUAACUAACAAUGCUACACAAGAUGUUUCGAAAUAUAUUAAAGUACUCAUCAAUAAGAAGCUCAAAACACAUUGUUUAUUGGCAUUUCCCUUUUGUAAUAGGGAAAACUUCAAAAAUGCCCUAUGUGGUUUCGCACUUUUUCAUUUUAGUACUCUGUGGUUUAAAGUGUAUCAAGUUAGUACCCUAUGGUUUCGCACUUUCUCACUUUAGUACCCUGUGGUUUAAAGUGUAUCAAGUUAGUACUCUGUGAUUUUAUUUUUGUAUCAAAUUAGUAUCCUAUGGUUUUAUUUUUGUAUCAAGUUAGUACCAUGUGGUUUUAUUUUUCUCUUAGUAAAAUAUUAAAUCACAGGGUACUAAAGUGAGAAAGUGCGAAACCACAGGAUAUUAACUUGAUACACUUUAAACCACAGGGUACUAAAGUGAGAAAGAGUCAAACCACAAUAGGGGUAUUUGAAGUUUUCCCUUUGUAAUAAGCACAACAUUCAUUUGGCUUUACAACUAAAGCUGUAGUUUCGCAUUAUUAAAUUGGAAAAAAAAAAGACAACAGGAGAGAAAACAAUAUGUUAUGUCUAAUUACAUCAUCAAUGUGACCUAUUAGCCCCUCUUGCUAAGGCCUUUGUUAGGGCAUGAGUGGCAAUCCCAAUUGGGCAAAAUAGAAGACACAGAGACACUGAAUGCCUUGUUUCUACCUUAUUCUUCAGGCCAUCAUGAAAUACCUGCCUGAAUUUCAAAAUCACACAGUUGGUAAGAAGUGACAUCGCACGGCGGAAAUAUCCAUUCUCUCUCAUUUAUUAAGUAGCGAGAACGGAUAGAAUCUGAAAGGGGCGUUUGGCGUCUAGAAUUGAACUGAAUAGGAUAAGACUAGAAAGUAAUGCUCGGGGAGGAGAAUUUUAGCGACUCGAAUGUGGUUAUUGAAUCCGAUCUGAGAGGUUGGAAUUCGAGGGGGAGGACUCAAAAAUCUCCAUUAUAUCUUCACCGAGUCCAUCCCCUAACUGUCGUGACCACCAAACGUCUCCGAGUUGCUAAACCCUAUUUCUCCUCCGAUAUUACUUCUUGUCUCACCCUAUCCAAUAUCUGAGUGCCAAAGAGGGCUUACAAGAACACAAGUUAUGGCAAGUAAUGUUACCUUGCAGCGAAAAGGUCUACAGCUAGUAGAUGAAUCCAUGCCGAGGCAACAGUCAUUUCAUUCGUAAACAUUCUUGCGAUGCUAGGUAACUGCAGAUAACAUUAGACUAUGAGCAGAUUAAAAAUAUAUGGCCAAAAUAUUUUCGAUAACCAUCGAACUUCAGUGUUUUGGAUCCUAAACCCUCAAUACACACGUUAUUUUAAUUCAAAUUUUGUUUCAAAGCUUUGUGAUAUUUGUAACUUUCAGAUAGAAUUAUAUGCAACUCAUUAAGUUCUGAUGUAACUUCGAGUCAUCUGGAAUCAAACAAGAAGAUUGCUUGAGGGGUUCAAUUUAAAAAAACUUUAGUUCUGGGACCGAUUUUUAAGUGACUUAUAUUGGGGAUGUGCUACAAAUUUUGCCAAUAAAUGAAUAAACCAGCAGAGCUCCAUAGAGUAAAUUUGAAUACUGACCUCCGGCAACCAAUAUUUACUUGCAAACAUAGAUCGCAACGUAUCAGGUGUCCAUGAUAGGUAAAGAAGAUAGGCAUACAGGACACCGAGGAUGACAUAUGGUGCACUGCUCUCCAUAGCUCUUUUUGUCUAGAAUUUGGACAUUAAAACAGUUCAAAUUAAAGAUCAUAAGAAUACGGAUUAAGAUUUGUUCGUACUAAAACUAAAGAGAUAAUAAAUAAUAAGAUGGUUGCAGCGCCGCAUUGACUUACGAAUUCAGCAUUAGGAGCUAGAACCAUAAGAGCGUAGAAUGGAAGGACAGCAACUGUUCCCCAAGUGAAAGCAUAGCUAGCAAUUUGAGAGGUAGUUAUCCCUGAGAAGGAAAGUUACGUUCAACCCGAUUCACAUGUUAUCCAUGCAAAUGCGUUGGUAAACAGUCUACUUAAAAAGAAUAGAUAUAAGAUAAAAAUGACUGAAUGAUAGUAGUUUGAUAAAUUUAGGAAGAAUUAAUGAGGAAAAUCCAACUCAUCAUUGCAGAAGUUAGAAUAACAUGAAUACAAGUAUUCAAACAUAGUAUUUGUUCAUCACACCAGAGAAAAAGAAGUUGGAAGUUGGAUCCAUUCUUGGGCCCUUGGAUCCUAAGGUAAUACCGUAAUAGUAUAGAUCCAAGGGCCCAAAAGUUAGAAGUUGGUGCUUCCAAUUGUAUAGUAGCUCAACUCUUGCUCUCUCUCUAUAUACAUUAGGGCUACUAUACCCUAAGUACGGAGGUCUUAAGUCAUUUUCGAUGGUAAAGCUUCCGAAUCGACGAUUCAUACCGUUAAACAUGAUAUAGAGCAUUUAACUUCUAGAAAACGAAUUUUGUAAUUUUUAAAAAUUAUAAUAAAGCCCAUCAAGCGGAUAUAAAAUAAACGGUGAAAAUCAAAUGGCCUCCUAAAAAUAGUGGAUCGGAUUCUUCAAUGUAAGAUCAGAGUUACUGAUCUUUCUCUAGACAGAGAAUAGAAUUUUCAAUCAAAAAAUUCUACCAAUUCCUAUUCUUUUACACUAUUAAAUAGUGAGCAUCCCGUACCGGCCGUUAAAAAUAGUCUAUUUUGAGACAUUUAAUCAUAUAAUAAAUGAUGUCAAAAAAUUAUAAAACUUGGUUUCUAAAUAUUUCAAAUGCUCUAAUCAUGUUUAACGGUAUGGAUCGUCAAUUCGGAGGUUUUACUAUCACAAACGGCUUAUGAGUAUAAAGGUGAUCGUAUAAAAGUAUGGUAGCCAGACUAUAUAUAUAGAGAGAGAGAGAAAGAGUUGAGCUGGAAUGCUAUCAGUAGCAAACGGACUCCGUUGCCAUCCAUUUAUUUUCGAUGAUGGAGCCUUCAAAUCAAUGAGCAGCACCGCUAAACAUGAUCUAUACUAUAUUACCACUUGAAGCAUUCAAAAAUCAAAUUUCAAAUCCUUUCGACAUUAUUGACCUAAUGAUCAAAGGGUUUCAAAAUUUAUAAUUUUAAUGGUCAAUAUGAUGCGUUUUCUUAUUUAACGGCGUAAAGAUAUCCAAAUCGAUUGAAUUUUGGUUAGAAAAUUUUUUAAACUAUUUAAAAUAAGAUCUAUACACUUGAUUUUGAUUACGAGAUUCCUAUCAUCACUUUUUAAAGGAUAUUCAUUUUCAGCCGCUCAUUUUUUUAUCCACUUGAUGGACAAGAGAAUAAUAUCGGAAAAGUAUGAAAUUUAAUUUUUAGAUGCUUCAAGUGGUGCAGAUCAUAUUCAACGAUACCAAUCGUCGAUUUGGUCAUCGAAAACAAAUGGGUGGCAAUGGAGCCCGUUUGCUACUUAUAGCAUUCUAGCUUAACUCUAUAUAUAUAUGGAGAGAGAGAGAGAGAGAGAGAGAGAGAGAGAGAGAGUUGAGCUACAAUACUAUUGGAAGCACCAACUUCCAAAUGUUGGGCCCUUGGAUCUAUAAUUAGCAACACCAACCAGUAAACCCUAGGGAUCCGAGGGCCCAAAAGUUGAAAGUAUAUACUUUCAAUAGUAUAGUAGCCCCACACUAUAUAUAUAAAGAGAGAGAGAGAGGGGGAGAGAGAGAGGCUAGAAUACUAUCGGUAGCAUGGAGGUUUCCAUGCUACCAAAUUGUUUUUGAUGAAACUUUUGUGUGUCGCGUCCUCAAGCACAUUGAGUUUCAUCCUUAUGGUUACCCUAUUUUCCAGACAACAUAAGAAAUAUUCCUAGGAUUAUUUCUUCUUUUCCAUCCUCAGAAGAGUUUGGCAUAUGAGUUUUCUUCAAAAAGAACAUAAAUUGAAAAGCGCCACUGUAAGUUUGUCUCAAAAAGCAUAAACUAUAGAAAAGCACCACUGUAAGUUUGUCUCGAAAAGCAUAAACUAUGAACCAACUAUAUAGAAUAGAUUAUGAAAAGAGUUCUUAUUAACAUAAACUUGAAGUUCAAGCAAUGCAAGUAAUAGCUCAGGUACAACUCGACACUCAUGUAGAAUUCACUAAAAUAAUUUUCAAAACUUAAAGCAUGAUCGACAAGAUAACACAUAUCUAAUCAAUUAAUAUUGCAACAAUUAAGAAACAAACUACUAAAAAUCAAGUAAAUUUACAGCAGCUAGGGAUAUCUGUCUCUAAAAAAUAUUCGACCAAACCACGACACACGCAAGAGGUGCACAUCAAAGUCAGUCUUCAAGACCAAAAUAUUAUCACAUAACAAUCACAAUGAAAGGAUGAACACCAUUUAGAGAUUCUCUAAUUCUGCCAAGAGCUCACAACCUUCACGACAAAGUGAGAAAGUGCCAAAUAAAACUAAUUUGAUUCAACCAUCACUCUAUACCACAUAAAAAAUAUUUCAAGAGAAGUUAACUAAAUAAGCAUCUUGUCUUGUCUUUAUAAAACAUUAACUUACCAAAAUUUCAGCACUAACAUGUUUAGAGCAGGAAACUGAUAAAACCUCGAUGUCGCAUAUGUUGCUCUGGUAAAGGUGCAAACAACAAAAGAAAGAACAAAAACACAAAAAAUGUUGAAAAUGGAAUUUACAAAUCUCCAAUUGUAGUUUCAAACAAAUGUAAGACAGUGCUUCAGGUGCCUAACUAUCAAUACAAAGUCUAGAAAAAAAAAAAAGAUCCUUCUGAGCAGGACUAAACAUCAAGCAUCUCAUACAAAGAGUGGUCACCGUAUCGAGCAUUUAAGAUCAUUCUCAAAUUUUAAGACAACUAAAGAAUUGCUUUUAAAAAUUAGAGAAGAGUAAUGUAAUAUUACGUUACAAACAUUCAAGGAACUUUUGCUUAGGUGGCUAUUUCCAGUGCUGGACGUUCAUGAAUUAGGAAGCUAAUGAAUAAAUCCAGCCAUUCAAACCCAAUAGCUUGUAGUUCAUAAAAUGGUCUGUAACCAUAGCAUUAUUCAUUUGAUAAUGGGCUGAAAAGAUGUUCUGAAAACUAGAAUUAGCAACAAACUAAACCUUUAUAGAUGUUCCCUUUCCUAGUUCAGCAGUUUGAAAAGGAAAAUAGUUAAACUAGAAAGGAAAUCAAGAAACAGAGCUUCUUCGGGCAGAACCUAAACAACAGAGGAAGAUCAUAAAAGCAAACAACAACAAAAGGGCUGCAUCUAGCAAAACUGGACAGUGUGAAACUCAACCAGUAAUCACUUUGCAACACAAAAUAAAGGUAAAAGCAUACAGAAUGAGCUUAAAAUUGAAUCAUUUCAAAAAGACUAUCCAACUCUUUUCCACCUGAUAGCUUAAUGUCCGACAACCAAUGAGUUACAGUUUUCCCCACUUAAGAAAUGAAUGGUUAGAUUAAAAGCAUAAGACGCAUCAAGGACAAAUAAAGACACAGUGCGCGCAUGUACAAAUACACCUACUGCAAACAGUCAUCUCUCAAGAUUCAAAUUAGAUGAAUUUAUAGGUUCAUAAAAAUUAAAAAAAAAAAAAAGUUAUUUCCAAAUAACCUUAAAGUUAAAGAUGGUUCCUAAAGUAAAUAUAUGACCAAAUUAAAAAAUAUAUAUGUAAAAGUAUAUGGAGACCCCUGAACUACAUACCAUUUUGAAUAAACCCUUCAACUUGUCUUUUAUUGACACUGCCUCAGCUUCUGAAUUUUUUUUUAAUUUGAGUUCAAAAUGGCCAACAAUGAACACACCCAACUUUCUCACAUCACACCAGAAAACAGCUUUUCCAAUUACUAAUCGUCCUAGUAAAAUUUAUCAGCUUAUUUUACCAGCUAAAGAAGUGUUCAGCAGUAUAGUUAAAUUUAUAAAAUCAUAGAUAAAUUAAUCAAAAUCCCCUUUUAAUUGAUGAAAGAAACUAUUACAAAAAAAAAAUCAGAAGUUAAUAGGGGACGGUUAAAACAGAAAUCUUUUAGGAGCCUAAUCAAAAUGUCCUAUAAGGGAAGGAGCCUCUAUACAUUUUCACGUAAAAAUUUGGGUUAAAUGCACCAGAAUCGCAUAAACUUUUGCCGAUCUAGAUUAUAGCCGCCAAAAGUUUUAUAUUUGGCCGUUAAACUUUUAAAAUGCCGCAAUUAACCAUUUACCCUAAUUGUCAAAUUGGAGCAACAAACGAUAACCAAUGAUCGACUUGCAACAUAGACGAGCCAUCUUAAUGCCAAAAGUCACUAUUGAUGGUAAAAUUGACAGCAGUCAUCACAUUUUUUUUCAGCCGUAAGUGUCAACUUCCGUUGUUUGGUUUACCAUAACUUCACCUUUAAUCAAAACUCAAACUCCCAAAAAUACCGUAAUUGACUUCAGCCCACCACGGCCUGAAGUCAAUUAUGAAAAAAAGAGUGUGAGAAAAAAUAAUAAAAUAUUAAUGAUAGAGAAUUUCAACUUUUACAUCAUUCACUUUUGUAAAACAAACAACAGAACUCAGAAAACCUUAGCUCCACAAGGUUAGAAACAAACUGUGGAAGAAAAGUAACUUUAAUGCGAACUAUAGUUUAUUUUACCUGAAAGUUUAUUCUAACAUGAACUUCACCUUCAGUAAAACAAACAAGCUCGUAUAGUAAAAUUGACAUCCUGGCAUCAAGAAAGCCCUUCUAUAAUUUUCCGUCCGUGGCAUGUGUUCUUUGCCCUUUUUUAAAAAAAAAUACCGUUUAGCUACUUUUAGUCGUAAUGGAAUAUAACUAGGAUGGUUAAUUAUAAAAUUUGAAAGGUUAGUUUUGAGUGAAUUACACUUUCGGUCAUCAAACUAUGAGGCAGUUGACGUUUUGGUCCUCAAACCUCAAAAUAUAAUUUUCUGCUCGAACUUUCUGAAUUUUUACAAUCAAACCCCACUAUCUAAUUUAGUUGACUAACUAUUGACAAAUUAUCGAUGUAGAAUGAAUGUGAUACGACAAUAAUCUAGAUGCUGCUCACUAAUCUACAUCAACAAUUUAUCAAUAUUUUGCCUCAUUUUUGUAGCCGAAUUCAUUUUCUUCGUCAUGACUCAUGAAUGAAACAGGUAGCAUGCAAUCUUUUUCUCAAAAAAAAUUUAAUAAGAAUAAUAAUAAUCAACUAAAUUGAAUUGUGGAACUUGACUGCAGUAAUUCAGAAAGUUUGAAUUCGAGCCAGAUAUCGCAAUAAAUUAAAAUUUUAGAACCAAAGUGUCACGCGCCUUAUAGUUUUGAGGACCCAAAGUGUAAUUUAUCCAAAAAGUAAAUUUAGCCCUAAAAAUUUAAGACUCGGUUGUAGGAAACUCACAAGAAGCCGAAGGGCUAAACCCUCCUCCUCCUCCUCUUCCUCUGUGGCGACCGAUUUCCACAACCCUCGUUCGGAGCCCCAAUCUCGACCCACCAACGAAACUCCAUCCACUCCCAACAAUUUUCCGCCCGCGACCGCCGCCGCCGCCGCCGCCGAAACCGACGACGAAAACCGGCCGAUUCCCCGGACUCUGCGAAGCGAAUCCCACCAUGGAUUUGCUCCGGAGAUCCAGCUACACAACGAAAAGCGUAAUAACGAAUUGAAGAGGAACCUAAUUGGGAGAGAGAGAGAGAGAGAGAGAGAGAGAGAGAGAGAGAGAGAGAGAGGGUUUGUGAUCUUUACCUGAGGAUGGGUCGGGAUUGGGAUGCAGGGGGAGGAGGGGAGAGAGAGGAGCGACAUUGUCGUUGGAUGGUGAAAAUGGAGUGGAGUUCAUGGUGGAGGGAUUAGGAGGAGGAUUUUAAGAGACAGAGAAGAGAGAGAGAGAGAAGAGAGAGAAAGUGGAACGUGCACUGUGUCGCUGUGUGAGAAUGAGAUGGACAAAAGAGGGAAAGUACCAAUUGAUCAUUUUGCAUAAAAGGACCAUUUCUUUUCAAUUUUUCUAUUUUGAGUCUUCUCAAUUUUUUUUUGAAUUUUGAAUUUGUCAAGGGGACGAUUUUUAAAUUUUAAUCUUCAAUUUUUCUAUUUUGGUUCCGCGUAAAACAAACUGAAAAUUUAUUUCCGGUAUAAAAAAAUAUAUAUUUUUCCACCAACUUGGUUAGGCGUAAAAAUAUUUUUGGUUCCGCGUAAAACGAAUUAAAAAAUUAUUCUCAGUAUGGAAAAAUAAUUUUUCCACUUGCUUGGUUAGGCGUAAAAAUAUUUUUUCAUAAAAGUAUUUUUACAGAAUUUGCAAAAAAAUUGAAGCUUUAAUUUUUCGUUAUUUUUUGGCGAAAAAUAAGAACUCAAGAUGUGUAAACAAAAUUUAAAAUUUUUUUUUUCCAGCUAACCAAAUAAAUGUCGAUUUUUUUCCUUUUCGGCCAAACAAAUGUCGAUGUAAAACUAUUUUUUUUCUACAAAUCAAACACUACAAACUGUAUAACUUUUGUUCCACCAAAAUUUUUUUCACGUAAAAUUAUUUUUACAAUUUUACGUUAAACCAAACGAACCCUAAUCAGUUGUAUAAAUUCAGCUAUGCAAAAUACUAUCUAUACAGUCCAUAUAGGGAUAUACAUCCUACACUCAUUUUAUUCAGAAGUUCAAAAAAUUUUAAAUAGAUUUUUAUUAAAAAAUUAUAAAACUAGUAGAGUGAUCUAAGUCAUCGAAAAUUUAGGGCGUAAGAUAUAUACUUACAAAUUUCUAGCGUACAAAUAGCAUUGCUACAUAAGAUUAAUUGAAAAUAGAUAAAAUUAUGACUAGUUUGGUAAUAUAACCGCAGCUGUGGCCAGAGAAAUAUGCGACUAUGUCAAAUUAGUACAAUUGGCCAAAUUAGUAAAUCUUAAACCGGGUAAAGUUUAGGGCCAUGAUGGAUUUUGAUUUUUAAAACACCAAUAAACAAAAAUAUCCCAUAAAAGCACUAAAAAAAGGAAAAAAAAAUUACAGAAAUUUAAAAACAAAGGACAAAUGUAAAAUAACAAAAACAAAAACGGACUUUGAUGCAAAAUUACACCAAGAACGAAUCCUGGACCGACAACGCCACCGCAAUCUGCGCUCGCCACUUCGAACAUUGAAAGAGAAAUGAAAUUAUUGCGUGAACCGGGUUUAUCCGUACGAUAUGGUACACCACCUUUUAGAACAUCAAUCAUUAAAUUCAGUAAAAUAUGUUCUAUUAAUUAACACCCAUUAAAUAUUAAAUAAAUACAUUAUACCAAAAUUCAUUAAUUUCAAACAGUUAGCUCGUAUAAAUAUAGCAAUAUUAGAUUUUUAAUUUUAAAACAUAAACGGUACAAAAAAUAGACACCAUAGAUGUGUUGGUUUUACUGUAAGGGCAUGUUUGUUUCGACGUAAGUAGGCUUGGGGUAGAAGUGGACUUGGAGUUGAAGUGGAGUUGUGGUGAAAAUUAGUUCACUUCUGCUGUUUGUUUCUAACUGUGGAAGUGCAGUUCUGUGAGUUCUGUUGUUUGUUUGGUAGGAAGUAGAUGGCGUAAAAAGUGUAUAUUUCCAUCCCUGGUAUAGUUACCUCCGAAGUGAAAUUAUUGUUUAUUUUGUAACUUAUAGUUAAUAAUAAAUUAUAAUAAAUAAAAACUAAUAUAAUUAUAUAUGUAUAUAAUUAUAUAUAUAUAUGUAUAAUUAUAAAAUAAAAUUUUAAAAAAUUAUAUUAUUUGUUUGCAUAUAAAUUAUAAUAAUGCAACAAAUAAAAUUCUAAAGUUAAAAAAUUAUUAACAUUUAACAAAUUCAUUUUUCAUCAUUUUCUAAAUAUACAAAUUAAACAAAAAAUAUAUUAAAACUUACCUAACCAAAAUAUAUUAAAACUUACCUAACACAUUACCCACUCUUGCUUUAUUUUCGACUUCACCGAAAUUGACUUCGUCCCGUGGGAGGGCGAAGUCAAUUUCACCUUUUUGGGUGAACCGGACUUUCGGGCGUAAUAAAAUUACGGUGAACCAAACAACGGAAGUGAUUAGUUUUCACCGAAAAUUACUUCCCCCUUCCCACUUCCAUCCCACUUUCGUACAAACAAACAGACCCUAAGCGUUUACGCUAUUUGCUUAAAUAAAUAACAGAACUGAAAAAAUUCAAUUAGUUUUAUAGCGGCACAAAUAAAUAAACAACAAAAGGAUCGUCUUUUUUUUUUCUGAUAGUCUUUUUUUUUUUUUCUGAACUCCAGCUCAUUCGAAAGUUUAUUUCAAACUGAACUUUAUUUUGUAUUUGGUUAGCCGUAAAUAUACCGAAAGUUAUUUUUUCACUUGAAAAAUUAUUUUUUGUGUUUAUUUAACCAUAAAUUUUUUUUUCGAAAAACUAUUUUAUAGAUUUGAGAAAAAUUGAAGUGUUUCGUUUGUGAAAAAUGGAAACGAAAAUUCAAGCUGUGCAAAAUUUUCUUAUUUAUUUUUUUCCGUCUGAACUAAACAAAUGUGAAAUUUUUCCUUCCAACGAAAUAAAUAUUGAUGAAAAAUUAUUUUUUUUCUCCAACAAACUAAAUGCUAUAAAACGUAAAACUUUUUUUCCACCGAAAGUCUUUUUUAUCUACAAGAAGUAUUUUAACUAUUUUAUGUAUAACCAAACAGGGACUUUUGGUUCAGCAUAAAAUGAACCGAAAAAGUAGUUUUGGUAUGAAAAAUACUUUUCUGCUUGUUUGGUUUUUACGGAUUUGAAAAAAAAAUUUAUUUUUUGCUGUAUUUCGGUGGAAAAUGAAAACUCAAGCUACGUAAAACUUUAUUUAUUUAUUUUUUUGAUCGAACCAAAUAAAUGUGAAUUUUUUUUUUCUUUAGACCAAAUAAAUAUCGAUAAGAAAUUAUUUUUUUUCCACCAAUCAAAUACUAUAAAACGUAAAUCUUUUUUUUUCAAAAAUUUUGGUUCACGAAAAAUUAUUUUCCAUGGUAAACAGACCCUUAGCAAUUUAGCAUUGCAAUAAAGAGGCGCAAUGAGUAUAGUUAAUUUCCAUACACCGGGUCCACGGUGUAGUUUCUGGUUAGAGGGGAAAUAGAAAAUCAGUUGCGUGAAAGCAAAAGAAAAUGUUUGAAUUAGGAUGUGAAUCCAAUCACUAGUUGACACGUGUAGAUAUAUUCUUUUAUUACUAAACCGACCAAGUAACUGGGAUCCGACACGUGGCACAUUUGGGCGUAAUCAUUUAAUCUGGUCGACCUAUAUAUGUUCCCAUAUUAUUCUUUUUUAAUUUUUAGAGAUAGAUAUAUAAAUAAAUGUAUGUAAUCUAUUUGAAUUAUCAAUUAUUGUGAUCUAAUUAUCUCAUUCUCUUUUUAAAAACUUUAAUUUGAACUGUUUAAUUUCAGCUAAAUUAGAUACAUCUAAAUUGUAAAACGAAAGAGCAGUUAUAUGAAGCAAAAUGUUGGAUGAUAAAAUUAAAAUUUUUGAAAGUUGAACUAUCGUCGAACUAUUCAAAAGUUGUAGCUCAGAUAAGUUUUAUAUAUUUUGACCUUUUGUGUUUAAGUUUAUCUGUAAAUUUUCACACACUAGUAGAAUUCAAGCCUUAUAUAUUGUUGGGUAAAUUAAACAAUUGAUUAUUGAACUUUUAAUAAAAUUUUAAUUUUAUCAUCCAUCAUCAAUUUUUAGCUUUUAUUUAAUUGGAUUAUUAUUAGUAAAAUUUUAUUAAAAGUUCAAUAAUCAAUUGUUUAAUUUACCCAACAAUAUAUAAGNUUUAUCUGUAAAUUUUCACACACUAGUAGAAUUCAAGCCUUAUAUAUUGUUGGGUAAAUUAAACAAUUGAUUAUUGAACUUUUAAUAAAAUUUUAUGUUAGUCGACACUCAUCAAUUUUUAGCUUUUAUUUAAUUGGAUUAUUAUUAGUAAAAUUUUAUUAACACUUUUCAACGAGUUGAUGAUAGGGAGCUAGCUAAUUUAACUAUUAAGAAGCUACACGAUAAUAAUUGAUUACCAAUAUUUAUAAAUUACUAUGUUGUCUCCAAAUUAUUAUUAUUAUCAUUAAUAAAUAAAUUUAAAAACAUGGUACGUGCGAUAAUUGAAUUAGCAAUCAAAUUAUCUACGAUUAAUAAAUUCAUUGUCGUGUCAUCUAUAAAAUAUGAUAUUGUAACAUAUUUAGCUAUUAAUUAUAACUUAUUGUCAUGUUUAACAAAUCAUAGAAAAAUUUAACAAAAUAAUUUGAUUAAAGAAAAACUCAAAGUUCAGUGAAUUAAUUGAAAUAGAUUGAAUAUUGAUAACUUAAAAAGAAAUUUCAUUGAAAGUUGGGUACCAAAGAUAUAAUUCAUCUUAUAUCGAUUGCUAACACGUUGACACAUACAAUAAGGAUCUUUUUAAUUAGCUCAUUCACACACUUUAGGGGGCACCAUUUGUUGGAUAAAAUUAUAAAUACAGUGUACGUAGUUGAAAAUGCAUAUGGUGAAAAAUGCAAUAGCUAUAAUUAUGUGUAUUUUGUUUGAAUGGAUAUAGUGGAAAGUUGUGCUCUCCUGUUCUUACAAUUUUAGAAUUUCAAAUUUUGCAUACUUUAGGUAGGGGCAGACGUAGUUGUCCCGCAGACGGUCCUGGGUGAGUGUAGUGGAUGCUCCUCACGAUUGUACGGAUUUGGUUGUGAGUCGGGGCUUAACCUUCGGGUAAAGUCGGAAUUAUUGGGUUAUGGAAACAAAGGUAAAUGGCAUGCAUCAUGAGCAUAGUAGUUGCUAGUAUUUAUUUACCUUACCUGCUUCUUAUUUCAUAUUGCAAAGGCAUAGUAGCAUGCUAGAAAGUUAUUAUUUGGCUAACCCUUCUACUUUUGCUUGCUUAGACCUAGCGGGAAAAUCGGCGGCGUCAGUAGCCGAACCUACUGAAAACUAUUUAUUAGUUCUCAUCCUACAUUGUUGCAGGGCCGAGUACGGGCGGACAGGUUGAGGACCGCAGUAAGGGCAUAUCGCCCUAGCUAGCUAGCAACCACCUAUGCAUUAGAGUUGGGUACCAUUUUGAGAAUUUCAUGUAUUGAGAGACUUAUGUUGUAUUUUGGUGAGGUUGCUAGAGAUGUUAUGUAUCUAUUUGAUGCAAGUUGUAUUAUAUGGAUGUAAAAAUGGUUGAAUGUCAAAUGUAAUAGUUAGAUUCUUUCUUGCUCUUGCUUGUACUAUACUCGCAUUAUAUCAUGUAUGUUGUUGAUGUUUCUCCUGGGCAACUAGAUGUACAUGAUUGCUUGUUGAGCCUUGGGCGGACAGGGGAGGCUCUAUCCAUUCGGCGUCUGUUGACGCGCCUGAACCGGCCAAAUAGGCGGUCGCGGGCCGUGACACACACCCUCUCUCUCUCCACUCCCAUGUAAACCCACGCCCGGCGCUCAAUCCCCUUCAUCGCACUUCAUCAACCCGGAGCUCGAUCCCCUUCAUUGCAUGCCCCUGCUUCAUCAACUUAGCGCUCGUUCCCCUUCAUCGCACGCCCCUGCUUCAUCAACUCGACGCUCAAUCCAAGCAAAAACCUUGAACUUCCUCUUAAUCUCCCUCGCUCUCUCUUCGAUUUGUUGUUGCGAUCAAAUUUCGAAGAUCUGAGCAAUUUCGAAGUGAUUGAGAUGUAGUUGUUGAGCCGAUCGAGUUAAACUGCAAUUUUCCUAUUUGAUCGCGCGGAUUUGAUCGCACUGCUCCAAAGCUUCCUUAGGUGCGUCGAUCGUUAUAUUCUUCACUAAUUACGUUUGGAUUCAUCCCAAUUUAAGUAUUUUUAUCUAUUUUUUUAGCUAUUUGAUUGUGCCUCUGUUGGAAAAUUUCAUAUAAUUUUUUGAUCUCCUCUUCUUAUUUGAUCUAUAUAUAGUGUUAGAUUGGAUAUUGUACAUGUAGAGUGUAAAUUUUUAUUCUAUGUCUCAAUUUUUGCUUGGUUGUGUUGUAGCUGGAUUUGUUAUUUUCAGCUAGGUAUUUAGAUUUUUCUGAAUGUUAUUUAAUCUGUGUAAAGGAGAAAAAGAGAAAGAAAAGAAACAAAUGAGGGAUUAUGUUGUAAAUUAUAUGCAAUACCUACCAAAAUGGUUGUAUAACUAAAAACUAAUUGAACAGAGGGAUCGAAUAAAGUUUAAGAAUAAGGCUCAUGUGUACAAAAGAGAUGUAUAUUAUUUAUGCAGUUAUUCAACUAUAUACACAUAUAUGUAGACAUGGUGGACAUCCAUAUUUUAAUCAGCAUAUAAGUAAAUAUACCAAGUAUCCAUAUCUUUAUUUAUAUUUAAUCCUUAAUUAUCAAAAUCUAAAAAAUCAUCCAUAUUAAUCAAGUUUACAUCUCUUUGUAUCCUUAGUCUCUGUAAAAUCAUCCAUUUGUAUAUAUACCCUUGUAAAAUCUGAAUUUUCAUACAUGCACUAAAAAUCCUAAAUUACCUACACUGUGUACUAUGAUGCAAAUAGAAGGUGCCUUCUUAAGAAACUUAAUUUAAUACAAAACCAACCUCUCCCCCUCCUCCCCCUUUACGCCUCUUGAUCUAAGCCCUAACCCUAGUUUUGCUCCUCGGUUCUUUUCCUUAAUGGCUUCUCCCAGUUAACUUCUUCGUCACCGGUGGUCCUCUUCACAAAUCCAAGCUCAAUCCCAAACUGCGGCACGGCGCUCCUUUUUCUCUGCUUCUUGUGCUUGCUUUCGGCAAAAUUAAGCUCCAAUUCAGACAAUGGAUCCAAAGAGAUUACCAUCGAUACUAGUAUAAUCCCUUACCAGUGUUUUUUAAUUGAAGCACCAUCCACUAUCUUUUUUCUGACAAUAAUGUGCUAAUAUGUAUACCAUGCUAUCUAAGUUUUAUCAUGUAGUAUUAGUGGAUCUUAUUGUUUUUGAGACAUAUCUGUAUUUGAUGAAGCAAAAUUAGUUAUUCGAUCACUUAGCCGCUGAAGCAAAAUUAGGUGGGCCGAUGCAUUAUCGGUGGAUGUACCCUAUCAAGAGGUAAGAGAUUCUAAUACUAAUGGUUUUAUAUUCUAUAAGUUUGUAAUUAAUUAAUUUACUUCUUAUGCGUUAUACUACUUUGUUUUGCUAAUUUUUAUAAUUCUUGACUUUGCAAGCUCUAUGAUGUGCUUAAAAUCUUACAUAUGUAAUAAAGCUCAACCCGAAGGCUCAAUUGCAGAAGGAUAUAUUGCAGAAGAAUGUUUAACUUUUUGUUCAAGAUAUUUUGAAGGCAUUGAAACUAUAUUCAAUUGAUCACGAAGAAAUUGUGACAAUGUCAAUAGUGGAGAAGAUUUCAUGUUUUUAUCUGGUAGACGAGCUAUAGGGAAGGUGGAAAGUGUUAUUCUAGAUGAAAUUUCUUUAGCACAAGCACACUAUUAUGUAUUACUUCAUUAUGAGAAAAUUCCUGACUAUCGAAGGUUAGGACCAUUGCAAGAUUAAUUAGGUAUAUGAGUUCCUACAUGCAUUAAUUGAUCAUGUUUAAUACAGUAAUUUUUUAGCAGCCCAACGAAGAGCCAACCGGAGCAUUCGCGCUAACCAAAGUGUUGAGCAUAAAUGGCUGGUUGAAAAGUUUCUUGGAUGGCUCUUUGGGCAAGUAUAGCCAUUAAAUCAACAAAUUAGGUAUAAUUUUAAGGUGCCAAAAAUGACUUCUUAGAGAUAAUUAUGUGACUUGAUUAUUUUAGUUUUUUAGAUACCAAAAAUGGCAAAGAGUAAGUGCUCAGAUGAAAUUAUAGCAAUUGCACGAGGUCCAAACAACGUUGUUAAAAAAUUUAGUGGUUUCAUCAUUAAUGGGUUUAGAUUCCACACAAAGGAUCGUGAAAAGUUAAGAAAAACUCAAAAUUCUGGAGUUAUGGUUGAAGCAGAGAGACAAGCUUAUUAUGGUGUACUUAUAGAUAUUAUUUAACUUGAUUAUUAUGAGAGUUUUAAGAUUGUCUUAUUUCGUUGUGAUUGGGCGGAUAUCACGUCGCCAAAAGGAUUAAAGAAAGACACAAAUGGAUGCACUCUAGUGAACUUUUCCAAGUUGAUACACACGGGACGAUUAUUGAAAGAUGAUCUAUUUGUAUUUUCAUCUCAAGCAAAAUAAGUAUUCUAUAUACAAGACCCAGAUAUGAGGAAUGGUCUCAAGUUGUCAUGACAAAACCAAGAGACUUAUACGAUAUGAGAGUACAUUUGCAGGAUGACGCUGAAACUUACACUCAAUGCAUGUCAUGUGAUGUUAUUGUUAUUGAUGAAUUAAAUGACUUUAUAAGUUGGGCUAGAAAAGAUACUGAUGAAAAUAAUAUUGUAGUUUGAUGUAUUAUAGUCUCUAUAUAGUAUUUAGAAUGUCUAGUCUAGUUUUUAUAUACUCAAACUUUAGAGGCUUGCAAUUCUAAUCCACUUUUCCUUAAUUAAAUAUCUUUUUGUGAAUUAGUAAUAUUUUAAACUUUUUUUGGGUGGUUAGUGUCAUGCACAAAACUUCUCUAUUUUAAUUUUUCUUUAUGAUGGUGCUUUCGACAAGGUGAUUGCGGAAUUAGCAAAGAGUGGUGAGAUUCAAGCUACUGUCCCGUUGCAUCCAUUACUUGAGGUAUAUUUUUUUUUUAUUUUGCAUGCACAAGAAAUAUAUUUUGCUUCUAUUGUCCUUCUUUAUAUUUGGUUCUAAUUUGCUUCCAUUGUCCUUUAUAUAAAAGAAUGAAAGAGAUUAUUCUCUAUUGGCUUUUUAUAAUAUUUUUUACAUUCCCAGGUGAUGUUAUAUUGAGAUUCUUUAGCAAUAUGAAAAGGUAUAGAUAGAUUUUAUCCCAAAUACACUAAGAAGGAUUGGAUAUUAAUCAUGCCAACAAAAUAAUUGGUAAGUCUGCCAUUUUGAUUGUCUAGUUUAUUUAGUAGAUUAAAUAGUUGGAUUUUAUUAGUAGACUAAAAUUCAACAUCUGAAAUUAUAUCCGAGUUAUAAAAUUCAGAAUCGAGACCAAACUUAUACUUUCUGACAUGAAUAUAGCACCAAUUUUGCAAAAAAAGAAAUUUUGAUGCAAUAUAGAGAAUAAGCUCAGAUUAUGCCUAUAAAGCCUUGAUAAUUUGAUGUGAGAAUGACACUUUGCCUUUGCUGUUUCUUGAAGUAUCUCUUUUUGUUUCUUUAGCUACAUUGAAGAAAGAUCAUUUAAAAGAUUUGUUGAUUGUGCAGAGAUUAUGGCUAAGCUGAAAAGAUUGAGAAAGAUAGUUGAAGACAAUAAUUCCCAAACUAGUGAAGAUGAUGCUACACAUUUCUCAAGAUUAAAUUCUUUGCAAGCUGCCUCAAAGCCUACUUCAUCACACAUGGAAUCCUCACAAUCUGAAUUUUCACAAACUCAACCUCAAGUUCAAGAAUCAGCUGAAACGGAGUAUAUAAAUGCAGUGGAGAUAAUUGGUAACUCUUAUCUCUUAUUAUAAAUAGUAGCUUGUUGUACAUAUGCUUGGCUCAAUGUUGAAUAGAUAAUAUACGGUUGACAGCAGUCAUCAGGAUUACAUACGGUUGACAGUAGUCAUCAUAGUUAAAAGCUAGUAGUAAUAGCAUAGAAGUAUAACAACAGACUGUUUCACCCCACGGACAAACAAUUACAGUGAGGUUUUCCACACAGUAAACUCAGAAAGAAAAAAUACCAAAAUGAGACCUUCCUAUUAGUAAGUCGACAAAAUAUGCUGUCAGAACAGUGAAGGCAUGCCCAAAAAACUCCUGUACCAUACAAAAAGCCCAUCCCAUCUAGGAAGAUAUGCAUUGUAGAAGUAGUCUAUUGAAAGCAGCCGAAAAAGCAGUUAAUCUUUCUCCCUUCCACCACCAAAGUUCGUUCUUUGAUCUCACCUAAUGCUUCCAAAAAGAUAACUCUGUAUAUUAACAUAGAAUUGACAUUUUACCUGGUCAUAUUUCUCUAUUUGUCCUUCAAAUCGACCUGCAUAUUGGAUUAAGUUACUAUCAAAAUCAACACUAGAAGAGAACAAACAAAUAGGCUACCAUGAGCAAAACUACAUCCACACCUUCUAUUCUCCCUUCAAAAACAUCAGAAUGGUUUCUUAGAAUUUCUUUCCAGUAUCCUUUACCGAGCCUUCAAAAGAAGAAAGGAAGAGAGAUAAAGAGUGAGAAUUACAUCACUUACUGAAAUAGGUUAUUAUCAAACUAUUAGAGGCAAUGUUAUCAUAGCCAAUAAAGAUGACAUCUCAUGUGCUAAUUUUAGAAUUUUCUCUCAAAUUUGUAGAUAGCCAAGGAAAGAAAAGAAAGAAAUCAACAAUGCAUGCAAAGGAUGUAUGGAGUUUAUCGGAUGCAGAGAGAGUGGUGAUAGUAUGCAAUUUGUUGGGCCAACCGGUGAAAAAAGUGGGGGCAUCUUAGGUGGGUGGCUUGGGAUUAUUGCACGAAGGCCAAAUUUAUGUCCGAUUCACUAUCCAAGUUGGAAAGUUUUGCCUCUUAUGUUCAAAACUAAACUGCUCUUGUUGACUCGGGUAAGUAAUUUUUUUUUUUUGGUUAUGCCUCUUAAGUUAUAUGGAAAUCAUCAAUUGUACUCCUACAAACCCUGCUGCACAAAGCACAACACAUCCUUACAACUCACCCUGCUGCACAAAGCACAAAGAACAAACCCUACCGCACCUUCUUUAAUUGGCCCUUACAACACUACUACUAUAGGCCUUUUAAUUAAUUAGUGCACUACUUUAGGCCUUUGAUCCCCAUGGCCACAGUUGAGAUAGCUCAAUCAAUUAUCUCUAUUGAUCUCUUAUUCUUUUUUUUUCAGUUGCUGAUAUAUAUGUAGAGCAGAAUUUCAGUUGCUGAUAUUUAUGAUUUUUUCUUUCAAUUUAUGUAGAGUAAGCUUUUGUUUCCUUCCAAUGGCAAUAUUGAGAAGUGGGUAUUGAAGUCACUAAGUAGAAAAUGGAAGAACUUCAAGUGUGGACUUAAAGGAAAAUAUAUCAUAGAUAAUUACACAGAGCAAGAAGUUGCAAGUAAUGUGCCAAGUGGAUUUACAUCCCAACAAUGGAUAGACCUUGUUCGUUAUUGGUUCUCAGAGAAAAGCAAGGUUGUACCUCAUUUCAUGGCAUUUCUUUUUAAUAUUCUUGUUUUUUCAAUUACUUUUAUGAUGCAAGUUAAUCAUUUUUUUUAAUUUGAUUAACAAUUUUGUUUUGUUAGCCAUACUCUCAAAUUGGAAAGGUAGCACGUGCCAAGCAUAUUACUCCUCAUACAACUGGUUUUAUGAGUUUUGCUCGGAAAAGAGAUCAAUUUGUAUGUCAAUUUUUUUUCUUAAUUUGUCAUAUAUAUAGUUGAUAUGAUUGUUUUAUUUGUAAUAUAUAUUUUCUUAUUAAAAUUCUUGCUUGUACAAUUAAUAACAGGAAAAGGAAAAUGGAAGAGAGCCGGGACGUGUCGAGUUUUUUGCAUUAACCGACAAACGUAAGAAUGGGACAUAUGAUGAGAGUUCUCAAGAGGUUUUGGUAUGUACACCAAAUAAGUGUAUAGACUUAUUUUUCAUAGUGAAAGUUUAGGAUCUUUACUCCAAUUGAAACUUAUAUAAUUUGUAUGUAGUUUUACUUUAUAUACGUUAAUAGUUAGUUCUCAAUUUAUCUUUAAUGCAAGAUAAUAUUACGAAGUUAAUAGAAAAGGAAGCAAAAACUGAAAAUGAAGCGUUUACCGAAGUCAUUGGAAAAGAUCGAUAUGGCCGAGUAAAGGGAUAUGGAAUUGGUGUCACCCCAACUCAACUAUUCGGAGUACAAGCUCAAAUUAAGAAUAUGGAGAAUGGAGGAGUAGAUCCUUCGGAAGAUAUGUGAAAGCUACAAGCACAAAUACAAGACGUGCAAAGUAACUAUGACCCUAAGUUGCUAGAGAUGCAUCAAAAUUAUGAGCAGAAAUUACAAGGGAUGCAAAAGAAUUAUGAAUCACAGUUGGAAGAUAUGAAGUACGUAACUAUUAGUUCAAAUCGCCUCAAAACUGCAAUGAGGUAAUGAAUUUUUAUCGAACAAAGCUAAAAUUUGAUUAAGUAUUCCAAGAUUAUUUUUUUUUUAUUGAAGGGGCUCUCAGACAAUUUUACCUAUGAUACUACCUACCGGAUGUAAAUGAUAUGUGUUUUUCCUGUUUGGUAUGAUUACCCAAUUUGGUAUUUCUUAAUUAAUUGUCUUUUUGCACUCCACUUGCACCUUAAUACAAGCACAUAUGUGUAAAAAUGCAAUAGCUUCAUCGUGAUGUCAUGUUAGUUUAUAUUAGUUUUUAAGUUAAGUUGGUUGUUGCUUUCUUUAAAUGGCAUCCUCUGUUUGCAACUUAAUACUAUAAUAGAAUGUGGGACCAAGAAGUAGAAAACACUCUACAUAUCUGCAGAGCUACUAAUUUGAACAUCAAGUCAAUUUCAAGGUCAUUUGGAUUCCACUCGAUAAAUGCAACUUGGAUUUGUAUUAAGAUCCUUGAAACUCAGAUGUCUCCAGAUCUGAAUCUUGAUAGAAUUGCAAUUCUUUUGAAGUCUCUUUGGCCUCGAUUUAUGCAACUGGAUCUAUAAUAAUCUGCUAAUUUGAUAACAACUAGAUAUAAGCUAGAUAAUCGAUUGCUUUGUUACAUUAUUGGGGCUAUUGGAAGUAAUAUCAUAAUUUUGGGACUGAUUCCUACGCUGUUUGAAAAUGUUGCCUUUUGUCUUAUUUACGUGCAUGUUUUUGACUUUAUGUAUUGUUCUCGUUGUAACUUUUAAUUAUUUUUGUAGUUGGAAAACUCUAGAUUUUUUUGUUGAUUAUGAUAAUAUAGCAUAAUCACUUCUUGUUCGUUGUCUUAUAUCCAAUACACUAUCAAUUUUUGACAUAUUAACUGCUACUAUCUUAUUGGUUGAUGAACCUGAAGAUAUCUCUAGUUUUUCCUUAUUUAUGGCUGUGAUGAGCAUGGCUAUUCAAGCAUUUGUUACCUUUUUUUUUUUUUUUAUCUAGUGCAUACUUGGGUUUGGGAUAAGUUGAGUUAAUAGCUGGCCAGACAAAAUCAAGGCAUUCCUAGUUUGUGAUGAUAAUGGAUUUUGUAGAGUAAGUUUUUGCUGUAUUUUGUUCGUUUAUGUAAAACAAAUAUAAAACAUGAAUUUAGUAAUUUGUCUCUUUCUUGUUGUUUUAUUGGUUGGAAAACUCAAAAAACUUCUCUUGUGUGUGUGUUGACGGAUUUUGUAGAAAAACCUGUGAGCCAACAAUUGGAAGCAUUUGUAAGCCUCUUAGAGAUUUCUUUUUCUUUUUUAUGGCAAUCUUGGAGACAUCAAACAAAUAUAAAGUUGUCAACAAUUCUGUCUAAAUGUUAUAUCUACAGUGCAUAUUGGUUAGGACUUAAAGAUAUCAUAAUUCAACUAUGAGAUUGUUAAUAAGCUUUGGGUUUGAGUUUUUGAAAAGAAAUUUGAUGAUCCUACAAUUAAAGAUAUGCGUGUAUUUGUAUCGUAACCUACCUAUCUAGAGCUUUAAUCACAAACUUUUUUUUCCUCACAUUCUAUCUGCAGUGAUAUAAGAUUGAUGAAUUGAGUAUUUGUACUAGCUUUAAUUUUUGUUUGCUAUUGUAGGGUGAAUGUUGUCUGACAUAUACUAUUUUGGUUGGAAUCCUGAAGCAGUUGAGCUCUGCUCAUAUAACUAUUCUCAUCACAUUUUGUCUGCGGCUACAUAUAAAUUACCAGAGGGCAUUCGUUUAAACUGAAAAUACUAUUUACGCUAUACGAUUAAUAAUUCACUGUGAAUAAAAAAGUGAUGAAAUUUUUUUGUUCCUAUUAUUCCAUGCUUAUACAAUAGUAGAGAAUUUUUGAUUUCUUGAUCGGGAGUAGCAUUGUUGAUUGAAGUUUAUUAAUGUUGAAACAUUUUAAUAUUUUUGUUCAUUAUUGCAAAGUUUUCGUAUUGGCGUGUUUAUUUGGUAUUACAUAAUUUACCGAUGCUUUGGAGUGUCGGUAUUUGUUUAAAUUAAUCACUUUUUUAGAGUCGGUAAUAUGUUGGAAUUUUAUAAUUUACCGAUGCUUUGGAGUGUCGGCAAUUGUUUAAAUUAACGACUCUUUUUAGAGCUGGUAAUAUGUUGGUAUUUCAUAAUUUACCGAUGCUUUGGAGUGUCGGCAAUUGUUUAAAUUAACGACUCUUUUUAGAGCUGGUAAUAUGUUGGUAUUUCAUAAUUUACCGAUACUUUGGAGUGUCGGCAAUUGUUUAAAUUAACGACUCUUUUUAGAGUUGGCACCUAACACAUUACCGACUCUAAAAAGAGUCGGAAAAAACUUUUCCGACGCUAUGUUAAAGCGUCGGUAUAUAUAUCCCGACAUGUUUAUUUAACGAUUCUUUAUCCGACACUUUUAAAAGCAUUGGCAUUAUUUUUUCCGACGCUUUAAAGCGUCGCUAAUUAUUAUUUAAAGCACCCUUAAAUGUAAAAUUUGUUGUAGUGCUUCUAUAUUUUUUUAUAACUUCUUUUUCUUGCUUGGGUGCAUAAGUGCGUGUUUGAACUAAAGGUAACUGGGGGAGGGAAUAGCAACAAGGAGGAUGUUCUUAAUCACGUGGUGCUGGUGGUGGAGAUCGUGAUGAAGCAGCACUAGGGGUGGAACUGGGCCGGGCUUGGGUCGGGUAAUACUAUGCCCAAGCCCGGCCCAAAAGAAAAUGUUGGGCUUCAGGUCGGUCUUUUACCUAAUUUUGUUUAAAAAUUAAGGGCCGGCCCAAGCCCAAGCCCAAUGCCCAAUACCCAUCGGGCUUUGUGAAGGCCUAUUUUAUACAUUUAUCAUAUAAUACAUAAAUACUUUUAUUUGUAUAAUAAUAUGUACCAUAUAUUUACUCAUAGAUAUGUAUAAUUAAUUAAUUAUAUAUAAUAAUACUAUUUAAUAUAUCCUAAUAUGGAACUAAAUAUUUUGUUAAUAUAUAAUAUAUCCUCAUAUAUAUAUAUAUAUAUAUAUACCAUUAAUAACACUAUAUACUAUAUAUGAUAUAUUAUAUAAUUUAUUCUUUUUAUAAAUAAAUAUUAUAUAUAUAUAUAUAAUUAAAUAUUUUAUUUUAAUAAUUAAUAUAUCGGGCUUUUGGGUCGGGCUCGGGCCGGGCUUGGACAUGCCCAAAUAGGCCCAAAAUUUUUUCGAGCCUAAAUUUUGAAGCCCGGCCCGAACCCAAAGUUAAGUUUUUAAUACCCAAAGCCCGGCCCAAACAUGGCCCAUCGGGCCGGGCCUUGUUUAGGCCCGGGCCCAGUUCCACCCCUAAGCAGCACGCUUAGCAACGUCGAUUUGGCCUCAAGGAAGGCCAACGAAGCAGGUGUGUUUGGUUUUCUAUUUUUUCUGUGAAUUCUUUUUCGUAAGUUUUCAGCGUCGAAUCAGACUUUUUUCGAUAAAUUUUUCAUUAUUUUUUUGUGAAUUUGCGUAAUUUUUAAAAAUUUUAAUUUUAAAUAAAAAGAUUAGCAAUAAUAUAUAUGUUUGAUUUAAAUGCCUAUCAAAAUUUAACGAUUUUUUUAUAUAAAUUUUUUCAUCUUUCUUCUCAAUUUUUUUUGAUAAGGUAUUUGAGAGCUAUUUCAUGCUAAAGAAAAUAAAAUUUUCAGUCGAUAAAUUUUAUGGUUCGAUGAUUUUUCUAUUUGAGAAUUAUUUUUUUAUGGUUUGAUGAUUUUUCAAUUUGAGAGCUAUGUGGCACUUCAAAAUUUUGAUUUCAAUUUAAAUAUUUUGUGAGAUCCCUGGUGUUUGGCGGUUGAGGCUUGACGACAGUUCUGGAGAGUGUCGGGACAAGUCUGAAUCGCGUUGGCGUGAAAUAGACGCAAAACGGACUUUGUGCGACGCGAGAGCAGCAUUUAGCCAGAGAAUCUGCAAAUAGCAGGUUUCUCUGCUUGCUGUACCGGUAUAGCCAGCAGAGUGUACCGGUACACUGCACAGGUUGCGCGCAGGCUGCUCUCGGGUUGGCAUCUGGUACUGGUACACGGACCCGUGUACCGGUACACCAGGGUAGGUAGGGGGGUAAUUUGGUAAUUACCUUUCCUUGAUUGUAUCACCAUCGCUCUUUCUCCCUAUAUAGGAUCGAGAGGACAGAGAGGAGAGGAUGUUUGCACUCUCUCUCUGUUCUCCUUGUACUCAACCGAUCGUGGAAGAGCUCGAGUGGAGUAUUCCGUCGCUGACGUCGUGCCGCAGAGCCGUUCGAGCGCGCGUUUAUUGCCGUAGCAUCGCGAGGAGGCCGGGCGAGGGUGCGUUUUUACCGUUCUCGACGUCGCGCCGGUGCUAGAGUCGCUGUUGAGGUGAGAUGUUCAUCAAUUCCUCCAACUUUGGCAAAUCCUUAUUACUCUCGAGCUCAAGGAUGCUGUUUUGCAGAUUUCCUGCGUCGACCGUUGGCGUUUCGGCUCGUGUGCGACGUAGGAGCGUCGGAUUGCAGCGAGACUUGGUUCGUUGGAUUCAAGACUUCGAGAGGAAUCCACGAAGCCCAAGAUUGCAGAAUUUGGUGAAGGUUAGCUUGGUCGAACCCUUAGUUUACCCUGCCGUUGUUAUACGUGGACAGAAUUGAUGGAUUUUGAUUAUAGAGCUUGGAGUUAGCUCGAUUUCUGGACUUGGAGGACUUCGGUCGAUCCAGCAGGUUGUUCUGCAGCUGAGGGAGUUCUUUGCUGCCAGGGAUUAACUCUCGAGGUGGGUUACAUCUGUUUAUUUCUAAGCACAGUAUUAGUCGACAUGUAUGAUUUUCAGUUUUGUAAAUCAUGUUGUAGUUCAUUUUUGUUGAUUGUAUCAUGGAUGAAAUCAGUAUUGAGGACAUGAUUAGCAAACCAUAAAUAUACAUGUUGGACUUAGAAUUUGACUUAGGAGAAAACCAGCGAUUUGGACUUCUUACCGGUUUACACUACCUGAUUUAGCUCUAGGAGCCGUUAUAAUUUUGUAUCGUCGCAGUAUCGAGGCGGCGGAUAUCUCAGGUAGUUUAGCUUUCAGUUAUGCUUGUGCUGGGAUGCCGAGUGUAUUUUUACAGUAGCGUUCAGGCUGUUCCGGACUGUUGGGUGCCGUCGGGGUUGACGGUGGACCCAUAUCGCCUUUUUGGCGUCGGAUUGUGCCGAGGGCACGUGACUGUGGGUUGUUAGACCAGUUAGUGUCGGUUACUUGGACUUUGGCUUGAUAGAGCCUGAUUGAGAUCGACAGAGAUACGCUGCAUACUCGGUUGGAUAGCUCCCACGAGUGCCACUCCGGAGACGGGCGUUGUGCUUUCGCAUUGGUGUCGUGCAUGCCGGUUAGAUUUGCUCUCCACGGACUGGUUAGUGUAGAGGUAGCUGGAUAGUCUCAACUGGGCGGGACGGGUGUGUUCACAGUCCUUGGGACGGGUAUGUUUACAGUCCCUAAAGAGAUUGGGUUAGAAUUGACAUUUCUACAGUAGGUUAGCUUAGAGCAUGAUAGUGUAAUAAAUGGUAGCUGUAGAUUUUAUUUCUGCAUUUAUUA